ACCAUUUAUGUUUCCAUGAGGUCAAACAAUACCCAAUUGAAACUCCGAUUACUAGCCCACUUCCGUAUCCCAUUAGGACAAAUUUCCAAUCAAAUUCACUAGUUGAACCUUGUUUAGAGGAUGAAGGUGUUGAUGGUGAUGCCUCAGAACUUCCACAUGCCCUUGACAAAGGACUUCCACACAACCCCGGGUUCCCAUCAAAGGAAGUAUUUGGAAAUGUUGCAAAUUGUUUUCCUUGUGGUAUAGGCCCUGUAAGAUGAUUAUUAGACACAUUGAAGAAAGCGAGGAAUGUCAUCCUUGUUAGUUGCCAAGGGAUCUCUCCUGAGAGCUUGUUCUGGGAAAGAUCCAAUGAUUCCAUCUGUGUUAGGUUCAUCAGGGAGGAUGGGAUAUGGCCGGUAAUAUUGUUGCGGCCAAGGUUGAGCAAAUGAAGUCCCUUGAGGUUCCCAAUGGAGGUUGGAAUUUGUCCUUUGAAAUUGUUGCCAGAGAAAUCAAUUGCUAUGAAAGUAUCAGGGAUUUCCUGAUAAAACCUCUGCAUGCCUUUGUUUGUCAUUGUCAUUGAGUAUAUGUACUUGAAAGUCUGCGUAUACCCUGGGCUUUGAAACGUUUGAUUGGCCUGCAUGACCUUGAGGUGGUUUGCAUCUGCAAGUUUCAUGGCAUCCCAAUUUUGGAAAUACACUGAUGGCAAAUCACCUAUAAACUCGUUGUCAGAGAGGUCAAUAAUGCGCAACUUGGGAAACCUGAAAUUGGUGUGCCAGCUCCCUAUUGCACCAUGGAAUCUGUUGGAUCUCAAAAUAAGAACCUGUAGCUGUGGGAGAGCUCCUAACCAAAAAGGGAAAAUAUCAUGGAUUUGAUUGUUUCCGAGAACAAGUUGCUCGAGCAUUGUGCAAUUGGCCAAUGAUAUUGGGAUUUGACCUUGGAAUUGAUUUUCACUUAAGUCGAUCAUCCUCAAACUGCUUGGGUUGGUGCACAUCUGAGGAAUGGGGCCAUGCAAGUUGUUGCCUCCGAGAUUGAGUAUAGACAACGAAGAGCUAAGGCUGGUCAAGGAUUGAGAAAUUUGGCCAGUAAAAAGGUUAAAUGAAAGGUCUAAAAUAGACAGCUGGGUAAGGUGACUAAGUGAAGAUGGGAUCAUCCCUGUGAAUUUGCAUGAGUCGAGGUCCAAUACAGUCAAAGAAACAAGCCUCCCAAUUGAAGCUGGUAACUCACCAGAAAAACUUGUACCAGCAAGAAACAACAUUUUUAGGGGACUGGUUUCCUGAAAUUCAGGUAAAUAACCGGUCAGACCUGGAUUGUACCUCACACUAAGAAGCUGUAGGCUUGGAAGCCGAAAAAUGUUCAUUGGGAAUUCACCAUACAGUCCACAUCCUCUCAAAAGGAGAGAUGUCAAUGAAGAUAAAUUUGCCAACACAUGAGGUAUUGUUGAAGAAAUGUUCACCAGGUUUAGAUGAAGUGUCUUUAAGUGGGUUAAGUUUUGAACUAGAUUUCUCAAGCCAGGCUUUUGAAGCUCCAACAUUGGGUUUCUCGAGAGAUCAAGGAAAACCAAUUUGGACAAUGCUAAGAGUUCCGAUGGGAUUUGGCCUGAGAAUUUAGAACCAGAGAGGUUAAGACUUCUAAGCCUUGAAAGCUGACCAACUUUAUGUGGGACCUCAGAGUAAUUGAAAUCAUUAUCGGAAAGGUCAAGCGUACUGAGAUGAACGAGACUGAAGAGGGUGUUGCUGGAGUUGAUAGAACCAUAGAGACAACUACUUGCGAGGUGAAGGCCGAUGACAUGACCAGUCUCCUUGUCACACUCAACACCAUCCCAUGAACAGCAAUCACUUUCCUCUCCUUCUCCAUGGGAUUUCCACGUUGAAACUUUUGGAUAAGCAGAAGGAUCAUCAGAAGCAUCCUCAUCAAUCAAGAAGCUUUGCUUGAACUGAAGCAAGGCAGAACUCUCACUAGCAUGGCACAGUGGGUGCUGCAUAGCAGAGGAAGCAUUGGUUACCAUUAGAUAAAAAGAUGAGGGUAAAAGGAGAAAGCGCAUGAACAUGAAGAGAUACAAAGCUGAGCCCAUAUUUUCUAUGGACAAAGAAAGCAAAUGGGAGGGAUGAGGGUUCACAGGCAGGAUCCGUACUCUAAUAUAGCAAUUUUGACUAAUGUGCAUUGACAGUAACCCAGUAGGCCAGUCUGCCCACAAAUUUUAAACUAACUCAGAACAUGCCCCUCCAUGUGUCCUUGUUACUAACAACAAAAAUCUCAGCCACAAGUCAAGUCGUCUCCGUAGGCUUACGGGUGUCGACAUUAAGCAAAAUCUUUAUUUAUUAAAUGACCGGCGCUGCCUCUCUCUUCAACUGUCCUUAUUAUUUUAAUUCAUUUCAAAUAAAAUAUUUAUACCUUAUUGAAAUAUUAAUAUCCAUAUUUUAUCUUUAUUUUCUUAACACAAAAAAUGCCAUUCAUAUUUUACUAAUUAUUGUUUAUAAAAUUGUUUUCUUAUUUUUUCACAAAUUUUAAAUUGUAUUUAAUUUAAUAUUAAUAUAAAAUUGAAAUUACAAAUCCUUUUACAGAAUAAAAAAAAUUAUUUGUGUCUUUAAAAGUUCUUUGCAAUCAAGAUAUUGUUUGAUACAUUUUUUAUUUUCUAUUUAAAAAAAAAAUUGAUACUCUUCUAAGAAUCUCUCCAUUUUUCUGGGUCUUUGCCAAGAACUAGGUCAAAGAUUACAGCGGUUGGUUUGUAGUUGAGUGAGAGAUCCACCCAUCUUGAAUUUAGGCAUGGUCUUUCAUCAAUGGUGAACCAUGAACCUUCAUGGCAAAGUUUCAGCCGACAGAUUUGUCCAAUAAAGCGGCUAAAAAUUUCCUUAGUUUCUCGAUCACACAAAAACAGGUCAGGAUUUAAAUAGUUUCACACUAUUAUCUAUAUGAAUAUAUUCAUGGAGUCGAAAAUUUUGAAGUCAAUGAUCAUUAACGUUCAAAAUAUAAAAGAAAUUAUGAUUUUUAGAAAACUACAAAAUUCCCAAAAAGAUCAAUAUCCGAGCCCAUUAGUCCUCCAGCCUUUAAAACAGAAAAUUCAAUAACAUAAAAAGGCCUAAAAUCUCUCAAGACCCUCCAAGAGCAGUAAGGACAUGUUACCAAACAACACUGGAAAGUUGAAACCAGGUCUCAGUAAUGUACUAGAUGGAACCAUCAAAGUUUAUUUCAUAUCGGACAGGCAGGGCAGCUCAGGCCAGGGAAGGAAUGCAGUGGCCCCAUUUUCCAUUUGACAAUGAGGAGCAGAGGAAGCAAAAAGCAGUUCAGAACCUCAAGCAAUAAUAAGAGUGUACUUAAACUAGAUUGAUUACAGUUUGUUGAUUUUCCACAGUUCCGUGUGCACUGUUCCAAAAAAUGGCAAGGCAUAAGAAUAACCACUACCCUAAAUUAUUGACAGAAUUAUAGUUUCUAAAUGUUGCAAAGUUGACCAAAAAUAGUAGACAUGUAUAGCUAUAAAAAUGGAUUAAAUUUGGGUUUACAUAUAUGAUAGUGGGUUGGGAUCUAGACCAUUCAUACAGGUUUGACAAGGUCAGUUUCUGGCUCUAACUGGGCAACUAUCUGAAUACUUUCCUUCUAAAGGAAUAAGAGGUAUUUGUCUUGGUCGGACGGUAUGCUUACAGUACCUUGCGGCUCAAUUAAACAUAUGCCAAGAAGCUUCCUGGUAUGCUAUGCUCGAAAGAUUUAACUUCAUGAAAUCAAAAAGACAUGAUCAAUUUUGAUACUGAAAUAAUUGCAAUACUGAAUAUAUGCUCUAUUAAACUUUCCAAGAAAAAUCACUUCCUGGUUUCAACUCUACUUGAACAACCUAUAAAAGGAGAGCCAAUUUUAUAUACUAACUUUAUUACAUCAAAUUUUAAAAAUUUUAAUGACGUGAGCUCACUGGAAGUGAUUAAGGCGGCCUUGUUAUGCCAUACUAGACCUGUCCCUCAAGUCUUUAGUGGAGCUGGAAGGAAAAUUUCGAAGUCUUAAAGCAAGCUAUUGCAGUUGAUUUCCAUUUGCACAUCUCAAAGUCUUUAGUGGAGCAAGAAGAGAUGUGAAUAUGUCUAUUUGCAACUGAUUUUCAUCCAGAGAGCAAAAACAAUAGCAGACGAGCAAAGUAAACGAGUUCACAUUCUAUUGCAGGUCUAACAUAGAAAGGGAUGUCUCCCUGUAUAUAGAUUCUGCAUGCCCAUGUAGUCAGUCCAUAAUGCUCAUUUAUUCUUGAAUUGGGGAGAUCAGAAACAAUAUUACAUAACAGAAAGAAGCAAGUUACAUUUAGAAAGCCAUAAUUUUACAUGGUUCCAUAAUAGGCCCUUUAUCAAGUCACCAACAAUGAAAAAAGAAAAAAAAUAAAAAUAAAUUAUAUGUUUUUUCAAACUCAUUUAAUUUAUUUUUACUUUUCUAUCUAAAGAUUAAAUAAUUUAAAUGUAUAUAAAUUUCUAACUAAUUUUAUUUAUAUUUUAUUAUCCUUGAUGAUAAAACCAAACAUGGGGUGAGUGUUGAUAUCUCUUCCUCCCACCUUUUCAACAGGGAUAAAUAAUUGGAUAGAUCUUCACACCCAAUAAGCUUUUUUGAUAGGAAAGAGCAUUGUUUAUUUUAAUUAUUCGGCAAUCAAGGUGCAUGUAAUAUCCCACAAGAUUGCCCCUAGCCUUGGGCCAUAAGGUGUUAUACAAGGGGUUAAGUUCCAUUGCAAAGUUCUAAGUGUCAAAUGUUAAGAUAGACAAAAGACCUUUGUAGAUGAGCCAAAUAACUGAGAUCUUUAGCUCAUGGUUGAUUACAAUUUGUAUUAAUACAGUAGCAUAAAUAUAAACCACCCAAGCACUUUUACAUCCCAAGUGGCUCAUUAUAUUAUUAGUAGUUACAUAUAAAAGCUCCUAACUCUAAGCUAGGGCAAUGUCCUUUUUCACCUAUUUGCAAGAAAAUAAAUGGAACAAUAUAAUAAAUACAAGAUAGUCAAAUUACUUCUGAUAUAUAAAAUUUUCAAACUUCUAGUUGUUGUACCCCACUGGAUAAGAAAGAGAGAAAAGAUAAAUGAAGCGAUAAAACUAGCAUUGCAGUUUAUUAUUGUGAUAUCUCAUAUAAGAUAUAAGAGAAAAUUACUAGACCUAUAUAUAUAUGGACUCCUCUUAACCAAGUAGACACGUUUUAAAUCCAUGAAAGUCUUUUUAGGCCCAAAAUGAACAAUAUUUACAUAGUUAGGAGAAAGUCAUUAUAAAUGGUAUUAGAGUCGAUCCCCGAACUCGGUGUGAGGGUUUAUUUAGCACAAUAUGGAGUAUUUGUUUGUUUGGCCCCAUAAUCUCAUGAGAUACAAUGAGGAUGUUGUGUUUGUAUGUGAGGGUGUUUGUGAUAUCAUACAUCGAAUAUAUGAGAAAGUCACUAGAGCUAUAUAUGUAUGAGCUCUUCUUAACCAAGUAGACGCAUUUUAAAACUAUGAGGGCUCCUUUGGGCCUAGAACAGAUAAUAUUUACACAGUUGGGAGUGGGUUGUUACAGAAUGGUAUCAAAGUUGAUCUCCGACCCUGGUGUGGGUGUUUGUUUGAUCUCAUACGGAGUAUUUGUCCAUUUGGUCUUGCAAUUCCGCUAGACACAACGAGGACAUUGUGACUGCAUGAGGGAGUGUUUGUAAUAUCUCACAUCGAAUAGGGGACAAAGUUACUGGGGCUAUAUAUGUAUGGAUUCCUCUUAACCAAGUAAAUGUGUUUUAAACCCAUGAGGGUCUCUUUGAACCCAGAGCGAACAAUAUCUACACGGUUGGAAGCAGGUCAUUACAAAUGAUAUCAUAGUCGAUCCUCAAUCCUUGUGUGGGGGUUUGUUUGGCCCCAUAUGGGGUGUUUGUCUGUUUGGUCCUAUAAUCCCAUGGGACACAAGGAAAACAUCGUGUUUGCAUGGGGCGGGGGGUUUUUGGAAUAUCUCACAUCAAAUAAGGGAGAAAGUUAUUGGGACACGUACUAUAAAUGUAUGGGCUCCUCUUAACCAAGUAGACGCGUUUUAAAAUUGUGAGGGCUUCUUUAGGCCAAGAGCGGACAAUAUUUACUUAGUUGGGAGCGAGUCAUUACAAUUAUAGAUCAUAGACAUCUUGUAUUGUUAGUACUGUCUCAUUACUCAACAAAAUAGGAAGUUUAAAGAAUAAAAAGAGAGAGAAAUCAAAUAGUGGCAGAAUAAGAAGAAAAAAAAAGGAAGAAAUAGAGUAGCACAAGAAACACAUGAAUUUAAAUUUCUCAAGAAAACUAUGGUUGGAUGAUAUAGGCAUGUUUGACAACUAUUUUUUGUAAAACAUUUUUCAUUUUUCAGAACAAAAAAAUAGAAAAUAGUUUUAUAAUCUUAAAAACAAAAAAUCGCGCAUUUUCGGAAAACAAUUUUUAGUUAUUUUCACUUAUUUUUUGAAUUUUUUUAGAAAUAAUUAUAUAAUUAUAGAGUGAUUAAUUAAAAUAAAGUAUUACAAAUAGAAGUUGUUUUUAGAAUACAUUUAAAAAUAUAAAAAAUAGAUUAAAAAUAUUUGAAAUUUCUAAAAAAAAAUUUGUAUUAGAAAACAUCUUAUAACAAUUUUCAAUAACUAUUUUUGAAAAAAAAAAAAUCCCAAACAAAGCUUUAAUAUUUAUGUCUCUCUUUUUCCUUCUCCAUUUGGUUUUCACAUCCCAAAAGUUUUUAUAUCCCAUCAAUAUGACUUGAUAAAAGGAAAAAAGAAUACUAAAAGAAGUGAUGAGACUAACACCUUCAGCUUGCAGUUCAAUACAUGCCAUAAUCAAGUUGGAUCGCUACACUACACAUAACUAAGAAACCUAAGCAGUUUUUACAUCCAUUCACCAACACACACAAGUUGAAGUAACAACAUGACUGAAAAGGAAAAAGAAAUGAAGAAAGAAGUCCAACAAUGCAAGCAGUAUACAUAGAUUAAGAAAUCUUUCAAGGAACUCUAGGUUGGAUAAAUUUAGCCUCUGUGCCCCCUUCUUUCAUUCCUUGUUCAUUUUCUUUGCCACUUUCCAAAGGUUUUCAUGAACCAUUCAUGUUUCCAUGAGGUCAAGUAGUACCCAAUUAAAACUUCGAUUACUAAUCCACUUUCGUAUCCCAUUACUACAAAAUUUCCAAUCAAAUUCAUUAGUUGAACCUUGUUUAGAGGAUGAAGGUGUUGGUGGUGAUGCCUCAGAACUUACACAUGUCCUUGACAAAGGACUUCCACAAAACCCCGGGUUCCCAUUAAAGGAAGCAUUUGGAAAUGUUGCAAAUUGUUUUCCUUGUGGUAUAGGCCCUGUAAGAUGAUUAUGAGACACGUUGAAGAAUGAAAGGAAUGUCAUCCUUGUUAGUUGCUAAGGGAUCUCUUCUGAGAGCUUGUUCUGGGAAAUAUCCAAGUACUCCAGCUGAGUUAGGUUCCCCAUGGAGGAUGGGAUAUGGCCAAUAAGAUUGUUGCCACCAAGGUUGAGCAAAUGAAGCCCCUUAAGGUUCAAAUACUCCUAAGAGCUUGUUCUGGGAAAGAUCCAAAUACUCCAGCUGAGUUAGGUUCCCCAUGGAGGAUGGGAUAUGGCAAGUAAGAUUGUUGCCGCCAAGGUUGAGCAAAUGAAGCCCCUUGAGGUUCCCCAUGGAGGUUGGAAUCUAUCCUUUGAAAUUGUUGCCCUAGAAAUCAAUUCCUACGAAAAUAUCAAGGAUCUUAUCAUAAAACCUCUGCAUGCCUUUGUUUGUCAUUGUCAUCGAGUACAUGUAACUGGAAAUUCACAUAUAGCUUGGGAUUUGAAUCUUGUGAUUGGCCUACAUGUGCUUAAGGUGGUUUGCAUCUGCAAGUUUCAUGGCAUCCCAAUUUUGCAAAUACUCUGAUGGCGAAUCACCUAUAAACUCAUUGUCAGAGAGGUCGAUGAUGCACAACUUGGGAAACCUGAAAUUGGUGUGCCUCCUCCCUAUUGCACCAUGGAAUCUGUUGGAUCGCAAAAUAAGAGCAUGUAGCUGUAGGAGAGCUCCUAACCAAAAAGAAAGAUAUCGUUAAUUUGAUUGUUUCCAAGAGCAAGGUGCUCGAGCAUCAUGCAAUUGUCCAAUGAUCUUGGUAUUUUGCCUUGGAAUUGAUUCUCACUUAAGUCGAUUAGCCUCAAAUUAUUUGGCACUGGGCAUGUUUGAGGGAUGGGGCCAUCAAGGCUGUUGCUUCCGAGAUCGAGUAUAAAUAGAGAUUUGCUGAAGUUGGCCAAACAAGGAGGAAUCCUGCCACUCAAAUUGUUACUAGACAAAUCAAGUAACAUAAGAGAAGUCAUGUUGCAAAUAAGUUGCGGAAUUUCUCCUAUCAGUUUAUUCUCUGAGACUAUUCAAAGGUUGAUGGUGGUGUUACUGGAAGUGAUCCUUGCAGCAUGUUAGAAUGAACUUAAUUUUAAACUGUUUAAUCUGGACCAUGGAAACACAAUUGGAUGUUGGCCAAAGCCUUUUAAAAGGUUUCCAGAAAAGUCAAGAGCCCUUAAGGUUUCUCUGCUUAUGUUCCACAUCCACUUUGGAAUUGGUCUAUGAAUUUUGUUAUUGGAAAGGAAGAGCACCUCCAAUUCAUGUUGGUUAUGUAGGAAAUCAGGAAACUCAGUUAAGUUGCAUGAUUCAAUCCUAAAAGAUUCCACUCAGGACAAGUAACAUUAUUACUACUAUUGUUGAUCAAUGACAUAUUGUUAUCAAACAAUAGAUUUUUGAGUUUGAACAACAUAUUGAAUUCCAUUGUACCAUUUAAGUGAUUUGAAUGCAAUAAAGGAUUUCCAGGUUCAUUAGUUCAAAUAACGAACUUGGGAUGGAACCCUCUAAUAUGUUUCUUGCUAGAUCUAGAACAGUUAGUUGUGUUAGAUUCAUGAGCCAAGAUGGGAUUGGUCCAGUCAAUUGAUUUCCUGUAAGAUGUAAAGUAGUUCAUUCAUUCAAGAGAAGAUGGGAGUUUACCACUCAAUUUUACAGUGUGAAGGUCUAAACCAGUGAGUUUGGUUUGUUCACUAAGCCAAGCCAAGGUCCCAACACUGAAGCUAUUGAAAGAAAGUGACAAAAAAGUGAGUAGGGUAAAAUUUUCCAAGAAAGAUGGAAUUUGGCCACUAAAAAAGUUGUUUGACAGGUCUAAAUAGGGUAGCUGGGUAAGGUGACCAAUUGACCAUCAUGAAAUUGCAUGAACUGAUAUCCAAUUCAGUCAAGGAACCAAGCUUCCCAAUUGAAGCUAGUAGCUUAGCAGAAAAACUUGUACCAACAAGUGACAGAAACCUAAGGGGAUUGGUUUUCCUAAAUUCAGGCAAGUAACCAGUCAUAUCUGGAUUGUUCCUCACACUACGAAACUGUAGACUUGUUAUUGCAAAAAUGUUAAUUGGGAAUUCACCAUUCAAUCCACACUCUCUAAAUUGGAGAGAUGUCAAUGAAGAUAAAAUUUGCCAAGGCAUGAGGUAUUGUUGAAGAAAUAUUCACUUGGCUUAGAUGAAGUUUCUUUAGGUGGGUUAAGUUUUGAACCAAAUUUCUCAAUCUAGGCUUUUGAAGCCGCAACAUUGGGUUUGUAGAGAGAUAAAGGAAGACUAAUUUGGAUAGUGCUAAGAAUUUUGAUGGAAUUUUGCCAGAGAAUUGAAAACCAGAGAGGUUGAGACUUCUAAGCCUUGAAAGCUGACCAACUCCAUAUGGGAUCUCUGAGUGAUUGAAAUCAUUAUCAGAAAGGUCAAGCCACCUAAGAUGAACAACACUCAAGAGGGUGCUGCUGGAGUUGAUAGAACCAAAGAAACAACUUCUGGCAAGGUGAAGGCUGAUGACAUGACCAAUCUCCCUAUCACACUCAACACCAUCUCAUGAGCAUCAAUCACUUCUCCUUCUCCUUCUCCUUCUCCAUGGGAUUUCCACAUUGCAACUUGUGGAUAAGAAGAAGGAUCUUUAGAUGCAUAUUCAUCAACCAAAAAGCUCUGUUUGAUUUGAAGCAGGGCACAACUAUCAUUAUCAUGGCACAAAGGCUUCCGUAUGGAUGAGGAAGAGUUAGUAACAAUUAGAUGAAAUGAUGAGAGUAAAACAAAGAGGCACAUCAACAUGAAAAGAUACAAAAUUGACCCUAGAAUUCUUAUUCACUAUUUUUACCAAUAGUUUUGAUGAGCUUUUAUAGAUAGGACUAAAAUGCUUUCCGGAAGUGAUGAAGAAGACCUUGUUAUUGUAGGGAAUUAAACCGAAUUCCCAACCUGUGAGAAACAAAAAAAAUAGAGAAAACACGCACAAGACAGUAUUUACGUGGUUCGGCAAUUUGCCUACAUCCAUAGAGUUGCAGGGAUAUCACUAUUAUCAGGGAAGAAUACAGAGUACAACCAUAGGCGGCUACAAUAUUUUCUCUCUAUAUAUAACAUGGCAACCACACCACACUAAAAAAAACCCUAAUUACAAAAGGCGGUUCCAUAAUGGGCUAAACGGGCCCAAAGGCCCAAGCCGGAGUGCUCAUGGACAAGCCUCAAUGCUCAUGGACAAGCCUCAGUAAAUCUCCCAUUAAAAACCACGCAAUAUUAUUUGGGUCGGGUCGCCAAACCGGAUCAAACAGAACUAAGCUCCACAAAGCCCAACAAAUCUCCCACUUAGAGACUAGUUCAAUCACCGACAUCAAACCGCUAUCCUCCAAAAGACAAUCCCUCAUCCCUGCAACUCAUCCUUCUGUCCUCAAGCUAGAAGACCAAUUGAAGCUGCGCACAACUUCAACUUCUCAAUAGUGACACCCUUAGUCAACAUGUCUGCCGGGUUCUUAGAUCCACAAAUCUUGUCAAGUAUUAUUAGUUUAUCUUCAACAAGGUAACAAAUAAAGUGAUAUUUUGUUUGUAUAUGCUUCGACUUUGAAUGAAAAGCCGAAUUUUUGGCAAGAAGAAUUGCACUAUGAUUGUCACUGUGUAGAAUGCACAUCUCCUGCUUCUUACCCAAUUCAUCUAAGAAACCAUGUAGCCAAAUCAUCUCCUUUCCAGCUUCAGUUGCUGUAACAUACUCAGCUUCUGUAGUAGACAAAGUAACAAUCUUCUGUAGAUUUGAAGCCCAUGAUAUAGUUGUACCACCUAGAGUAAAAAUAAACCCAGUAGUACUCUUUCUACUAUCAAUAUCACCAGCAAAAUCAGCAUCUACAUAACCCUACAGUUUCAAACUUGCACCUAUGAAGCAAAGACAUGUAUCUAAUGAACCCUUCAGAUAUCUUAGAAUCCACUUGACUACCUCCCAAUGCUGCUUUUUAGGCCUACUCAUGAAUCUGCUCACAACUCCCAUUGCAUGUGCAAUGUCUGGCCUUGUACACACCAUAGCAUACAUCAAGCUGCCAAUAGCUGAGGCAUAGGGCACCUUGCUCAUAUGGUCCCUUUCUUCUUUUGUCUUCGGUGAUUGUUCUUUGCUUAGUUUGAAAUGACUCCCCAAGGGUGUGCUCACUAGUUUAGCUUCAUUCAUGUUGAGUCUACUGAGAACUUUCUUCACAUACUCUGAUUGUGAAAGCUUCAAUGUACCAUUAGCCUUGUCUCUAUUGAUUCUCAUACCAAGGAUUUACUUUGUAGCUUCCAAAUCCUUCAUUGCAAACUGUUUGGAUAAUUGAUUCUUCAGAUUAUUAAUCUCCUCAAUGCCAGACCCUAUAUAAGCAUAUCAUCCACAUACAACAGUAAUAUGAUGUAAGAAUUGUCAAAAAACUUAACAUAGCAACAAUGAUCAACUUCUCAUCUCUUGAACCCAAUUCUAUGCAUAAAAUUGUCAAAUUUCUUGUACCACUGUCUAAGAGCUUGUUUAAGGCCAUACAAGCUCUUUCUCAGUUUGCAGACUAGAUUCUUUUAUCCCUGAACAAUGAACCCUUCGGGCUGAAUCAUGUAAAGGUCUUCCUCCAAGUCACCAUGAAGGAAUGCUGUCUUCACAUCUAACUGCUCAAGAUGUAAGUUUUCUGCAACCACCAUUCCUAGUACAAGUCUGAUUGUUGACAUCUUCACAACUGGAAAAAAUAUCUCUACGUAGUUAAUGCCCUCCUUCUGUUGGAACCCUUUAACAACUAAUCUAGCCUUGUAAUGUUUGCUACCAUCAUGCUCGUUCUUUAUUCUGUAUACCCACUUAUUGUGCAAAGCCUUCUUUCCUAUUGACAAUUCAGUCAGUUCCCAUGUCUGAUUCCCCAACAAGGAAUCCAUCUCAUCAUUCAUGGGUAACUCCCACUUGCUUGAAUUCUCAUCUUGCAAGGCUUCAUCAUAACACUCUGGCUCACCACCAUCAGUCAACAGGAGAUAAUUUAAAAUAGGUGAAUAACGUUGUGGAGGUCUAAUGUUCUUGGAAGAUCUACGAACUUCAGCUACAGGUGUACUCAAAUCUACCUGUGAAUUUACAUUCUCUUUAUCUUCUUCACCCAUUUUUUGGACAGUACUUUCAGUCAAUUCAUCUAAGUUGACAAACUUAAAUUUCUUUUGAUCUAUCUUUGUAACAUUUGACACUACAGUUGACCUGUCCUUGUACAUAACAUGUUCAUUAAAUAUUACAUUUCUACUUCUGAUGAUUUUCCUGUUUUGUUCAUCCCAAAACCUAUAGCCAAAUUUCUCAUCACCAUAGCCAAUGAAAAAACAUAUUUUAGACUUUGCAUCAAGUUUACUACGAGCAUUAGAAUCAAUAUGAACAUAAGAAACACAACAAAAAACUUUUAAAUGUGAAAACUUUACCUCUUUACCGCUCCAAACCUCCUCAGGAAGUCUGAACUCCAUGGAAACUGAUGGUCCUCAGUUUAUCAGGUAAGCUGCAGUGCUAACAGCAUCAGCCCAAAAAGUUUUUGGUAGUCCAACAUGCAACCUCAUACUUCUAGCAAGCUCAUUGAGAGUUCUGUUCAUGAGCUCAGCCACACCAUUCUGCUGUGGUGUCCCAGGAAUGGUUUUCUCCAUCCUAAUUCCCUAUGCAGCACAAUACUCACUGAACCCUCCAUCUAUGUACUUUCCUCCAUUAUCUGGCCUCAAACAUUUUACUUUCAAACAUGUUUCUGUCUCAACCAUGGCCUUCUACUUCUUAAAAGUUUCAAAUACAUCAGAUUUAUUUUUCAGAAAAUAAACCCAUACCUUUUUGCUUGAGUCAUCAAUAAAAGUGAUGUACUACCUUGAGCCUCCAAGGGAUGCAAUCGGAGAAGGCCCCCACAAAUCAGUGUGUACUAGUUCCAAUUUUUCAACCUUCGGUGUCCUACCAGUUUUCAAUAAGCUCAUCAUUUUUUGCUUUCCUAAGAUGUAACUUUCACACAUGUCAAAAUCAAUGGACUUCAAUUCUGAUAGUUUUCCUUUUGACAACAACAUCUUCAUCUCUUUCUCACUCAUGUGACCAAGUCUACGGUGCCAUAGGCUUGUAUCAGUACUUGCAUCAGCAACUGCAAUUGUGUCUCUUGGACAUGAGGUCAUAUACAGAGUACCAGUCUUCUUUCCACGAGCCAAUAUCCUAGCUCCCUUUGUAACCUUCCAAGUACCACCAACAAAAAGUAUUGCAUGUCCUUCAUCAUCAAGUUGUCCAACAGAAAUCAAAUUCCUCAUCAGGUCAGGAAUAUAUCGAACUUUCUCCAGUAACCAAAUAGACCCAUUGGGCAACAAUAUCCGGACGUCUCCCAGACCCACAACAUCCAUGGCUGAACCAUAAACCAAAUACACCUUACCAAAAUCAUUGGCAACAUAAUUCUGCACGAUUUCUCGAUGUGGAGUGGUAUGAAACGAAGCUCCUGAAUCCAAAACCCAAUCAUCAAGUGAACUAUCUACAGAAAGAAGUAAUGCAUCUUGUACCUCUUCUGUUACAACAUUAGCAGAAUCAUCUUCAUUCUUCUUCUUAGGACUUUUGCAUUGCCUUAUAAAGUGACCUGUUUUCCCACAGUUCCAGUAUUGUACUUGUUGGCCUGAUCUAGAUUUGCUUCUGUUUCGAUUAGAAUUUCUGGAUUUUGAUCUACCUUGGUUUGAAUUUCUGUCAUUACCUCUACCUCUUGUCUCAAGGUUUAAGGCAGAACCAGAUCCUGAGGUUUCACCUGCAUCUCUUCGGCGAAUCUCCUCAGCCAGAAUUAAAUCUCGUAUAUCAUUGUACUUGAGCUUUUCCUUUCCCGUAGAAUUGCUUACUGCCAUCCUCAUUGCCUCCCAACUGUUUGGAAAAGAAGCCAAGACGAUCAGAGCACGAAUCUCAUCAUCAAAAUCAAUUUCUACAGACGACAAUUGAUUUGUGAUUGUAUUAAAUUCAUUCAGAUGUUGUGCUAUUGAUGCAUUCUCUGCCAUCUUCAAAUUGAACAAUUUCUUCAUCAGAUGCACCUUAUUGUUUGCGAAUGACUUUUCAUACAUACUAGACAAAGCCUUCAUCAUAUGUGAUGUGGUAUUCUCCUUUACAACAUUGUGUGCAACAAACCUAGACAGAGUUAACCUAAUAACUCCUAGAACUUGUUUGUCAAGAAGUGCCCAUUUCUCAGCUUUCAUACUCUCAGGUUUUGUCCCCAAAAAAGGUAGAUGCAAUUUUCUCCCAUAGAGAUAAUCUUCAAUCUGCAUCCUCCAAUAUGCAAAGUCUGUGCCAUCGAACUUUUCUAUUCCAGACGCCUUUCCUGCUUCCUCUGCCAUUGCUCCCACUCAAACCUAACCCUAGGCUCUGAUACCAGUUGUAGGGAAUUAAACCGAAUUCCCAACCUGUGAGAAACAAAAAAAAUAGAGAAAACACACGCCAAAGAAAAACAAUCACACGCAUAAAACAAUAUUUACGUGGUUCGGCAAUUUGCCUACAUCCAUGGAAUUGUAGGGAUAUCACUAUUAUCAGGGAAAAAUACAGAGUACAACCACAUGCGGCUACAAUAUUUUCUCUCUAUAUAUAACAUGACAACCACACUACACUAAAAAAAACCCUAAUUACAAAAGGCGGUUCCACAAUGGGCUAAACGGGCCCAAAGGCCCAAGCCGAAGUGCUCAUGGACAAGCCUCAGUAAAUCUCCCAUUAAAAACCACGCAAUAUUAUUUGGGUCGGGUCGCCAAACUGGAUCAAAUAGAACUAGGCUCCAUAAAGCCCAAUAGUUAUGCUAUAAUAGACCUGUCCCUCAAUUGUUUAGUGGAGCUAAAAGGCACAUUUCAAAGUCUAAGUUGUCUUCUUUUUAAUUUAGUGACUGAUUUCAUUGUAAAUCCUGUAGUGGUCUCUCUUUUCUUUUUGUUCCAACUAACAUGAUGAUCUUUUUUUUUUUUUUCUCUCUCUCUCUGUAUUAUAAAAAUUGAGAAUGAAUAAUUACCUACAAAAGGCUUCGCAAAGCAUCAUUAGUGUCUGGUAGGCUUCUUGUGGGCAGAGAUGUAAGUUCAUUUGAAAUUGAUUUCCACUAAAGCUUUAUAGAAUUAAAAUGGGUUCAAGUUAAAGACAAAGACUCCAAAACUAAAUGGUAUUGCAGUUGACCUAUGCUGCUCGGUAUCUACAAUCAGACUCUAUCUCAUUUCUUUUAUCCAUUCAUCUUCAUCAUCCCCAUUUUAUCAUCUUGACUGGUGGGCUUCCUGGGGGCCUUAGAGCAGAGAUGUGAAUAAGUCCAUUUGCAACCUUAGUCUUGUUACUUUGUCUCCUAUCCUUUUAAUUAUUUAGUAUAUAUUCCUUUGAGUCAAGCUAUGUCUCUCACUUCCCAAAUAAAAUGAACUAGUCAAGAAAAGGAAAAUAAAGUAGAUACACCAAAUCACCCACCAAGGCUUUAUAUAAUAAAAAAAACUACUUCAAUAAGUGAGCUAAGACAUACCCCUCUUCCAACGCCAAAUCCUGUUACAGAGCUUAAAUGAUGUACUCUUGGAUGACCAACAACUUGCAAGUGAUGAGGUUUAUAGGUUUUAUAGGCUGGACCACAAAAUCUUAUGUAGUCAAUGCACCCACUACUAACAAGUGCUGGUGGAAGAUCUCUUCAACCUCACAAAAUAAUAUUUUGUUUGCAGGUUCAUCGGAGCGAGAGAGAGAUUCCUUUUUGGAUUGUGCUACUUCAAGUUUUACAGGACAACUCAUUGAUUCCCUCUGCUCUUUAAAUACCAUUGUUUUUAUAUUUUCUAAUACAUUAAUUAAGAUUUGAGAACAACUUAUAUGUCAUGGAAAUGAUUUACUCCUCAAAUUUUAGUUAGUUUUAUACAUGGUUAUAAGUGGCUCACAAAUUAAAGUUUUUUUGUCUUCGUAUUAUACAUAGUUUCUAAGGUUGAAGUAGAGGAUCUCAAUGAAUGGCACCCUAUUUCUAUUGGCCUAAUCUUAUUACUUGGCACUCUACUUUACUUUUCUAGGGUAUAUAUUUAUUGUAUCUAAAAACUAGUUCAAUAAAAAUAAACUGAAACAUUUUACCAUAAAAAGAACCUUACAAGAAAUUGAAAAGCUACAUUAAAGGCCCUUAUGAUAUCUCUCGUUUUAUCAUAUAUUAAGGUGACAUUUCCAUGAACAUAUAAAUAGAACAUGUGACAUUUCCAAGAACACAAGGCUUAAUUUGAUUUAGACUUGAGUAGUUUGUACCCUGAACCAUCCAAGUAGAAGGAGGUUAAUUAGCAAGUAAAACAAGCUCAAGGGACUCACACCGCUCAACUCAAUUCCUAUAAAAUAGAUUAACUCCAAUAGAAGCUAGUUACACUACUUCUAAUAUAUAAAUUACUAAAAUUAUGUUAGUGCACCUGACUGGACAAAAGAGAGAAAUGAGAAUAUAGUAAGUGAUUGCAAGAUUAACAUUUUCAAUUUACAGUUAACUACAAACCAUAAGCAAGUUGCAUUGCAACAUAUUAGCCACUCAACCAUUUUUUUUUUUUACAUCCCUUUAAGAUAAUGGUGAACUAUUUCUGGUUGCCACAUAAGUUAAAGUAGCACCAUGACUAAAUAAGAAAGAAAGAAAGAAGAAAAGAAAAUCCAACAAGCUUAUUAAUUUAGCUCACAAAGACAAGUCUUUCAUCAUAUUAGAUUAAAAAAGAAUCUAUGGAAUACCCAACAAGCUCUAUAGAAAAAGAAAUUUCCUUUUCUAAUUUCAAUCUCAAUAAAGAGCUUAUUCCCAAAUGCCAAGAUACAUACAAAUGACUUUUAAGGGCAAAGUAAAUAUAUUUACAUCAUUUUGCAGGUCUAACAUGGAAAGGGGGCUAUGUUAAAAUAGAGAGAAUUCCUUGGAUAAAUAGAAGAUUAAUUUGUCAUUUGAUAACUUAAAAAAUAUUACAAAAUAAUUUAAAAAAUAAUACCAAUGACCUAUGUUAUGUUAGUGCGACUGACUUGUUAAAGAAAGAAAGGAUAAUAAAAGAAGUGAUCAUAAGACUAACAUCAAUUUGUAGUUCAUUGCAAGCUUGUCAAACUUUUUAUACAUCCAAUAAGAUAAUGAUAAAACCAUUGCCAUACAAGUUAAAGUAACACCGAGACCAAAUAAGAAAAAAGGAAAGGAAAUCCAAUAAACAAGCAAUAUAUAUGUAUAGAUUUAGAGACCUUUCAAGUAAAUUAUGGCAGGUUAAAUUAAACAUCUAUGCGCUUUUAUUUCUUUCAUUCUCCAUUUUUGUUGUUGACUCCAAAAUGUUUGCACAAACCAUUCAUGUUACCAUGUGGUCAGGCAGUACCCAAUGGAAACUCCAGUUACUAGCCCACUUCCAUAUCCCAGCAAGACAAUUUUCCAAUCAACUUGAGUACCUGGUGAACCUUGUUCAGAGGUUGAAGGUGCCGAUGGGGGCGACUUAGAGUUUCCACAUGGCCUUGAUAAAGGACUUCCACACAAUCUUGGGUUCCCAUCAAACGAACUAUUUGGAAAUGUACCAAAUUGUUUUCCUUGAGUUAUAGGCCCCAUCAGAGGGUUAUGAGAUACAUUGAAGAAUUUAAGGAAUGUGAGCUGCACUAGCUAUUGAGGUAUCUCUCCUGAUAGAUUGUUUUGAGAAAUGUCAAGCUCCUCCUAUCGGGUCAUGUUUGGAAAGAUGUGGGGAUAGAACCUAUAAAAGCAUUGUUGGAAAGAUUGAGCAGCUGAAGUCCUAUUUAAGGGUUCUUACUAAUCGAACCUUUAAUGCAUGACUCUACAUGUAAAUGACCUAUGAAAUCUUGGCAGUAGCCCCACCCCAUUCUUCAAGUAAACAGAAUUUUUCCACUGCAAUCUAGAAACAAAUAGAUUGACAUUAUAUAUAUAAAGAAAAAAGAAAUGAAAAUUUAUUAUAUUCCAAUAUUAAAUAUUUAUGUAAAAUAAAAAUAAAUAUUACAUCCCAAUAGUUUAUAAUUUAGAAAAAAUAUUUAUAAUUUAGUAAGUAAUUUAUAUUUUUAAUAAUAUUCGUGAUUAAAAUAUUUAAAAUUUAUCCAGUGGGUCAGGCUCAGUGGCAGGGGCGAGGGAUUAGGAUCCUCUAUGAGUAGCGCCGACUAAAGAUUUAUUGGUCCUCGAUGGUUGGAAAGAGCCUCCUUGGGGUUCGGCUGGCAGUGUUGGUGCGACUAAGUUAGCGAUUGUUCCGGUUGGAUCAGGUUUUACGAGUCCAUUAGUGGAGAAGACUGACUUUCAAUUGGAAGGGGGAGCGUGGGGAGGGGAGGGGGGUAUGGGAUGAAGGGUGGAACUUUAGCUGUCUCGCAAAGUUCAAUUGAAGCCUUGGUAUACUGACAGAAAGGUUUGAAGAGGAAAUUUUGUAUCUCUUAAGGAAGAUGAAGGGGAGAAUUGACCAAAAGGGGCAGAAUGGGGCGUCUAGAAAGACGGAAUUACUGUCUUCAAAAUCUAGUAGGGAACUCAAGAAGUUGGAGUGGACAGUGAGCUAUAAAAAAGCUAGGGUUGAUACCAGUUUAGGUAUUUCUGAAGGGGCUUCUAUGUUGGGGUGCAAAUGAAGAUAAGAAUUUUAUCCUGGAAUGUGAGAGAGGCAAAUGAUAGAGAUAAAAGAAAGAUAAUUAAGUCAGUGAUAAGAUCUUAAAUGGUGGACGUGGUUUGUUUGCAGGAAACCAAAAUUAAAGAAAUGACUACGGGGCUUGUUUGUAGUCUUGGGGUGGGAAGACAUCUAAACUGGAGUGCAGUCAAUUCAAGAGGUGCAACUAGAGGCAUUAUGGUGUUUUGGGAUAACAGAGUGUUUGAGUUGGUUGACUUGGAAGAAAGAGAAUACUCAAUCUCGUGCCGCUUUAAGAACUGUGGGAAUGGGGUUGUGUGGGUGUUUACUAGUGUGUAUGGUCCGGUGUGCAGUAGGGAUAGAGAGGACUUUUGGGAAGAGUUUGGGUCAAUAAGAGGUUUAUGGAGUGAACCUUGGUGUGUAGGUGUGGAUUUCAAUAUGAUCAAAUUUCUAGAGGAACGUAGUAGGGGAGGAGGGCUUUUUGCAUCAAUGAGGAGAUUUUCAGAAAUGUUACAAGAUUUGGAGUUGAGGGACUUUCCUUUGUAGGAGGGUCCUUUUACUUGGAGGGGCGGGUUGAAUAACCAAUCCCAAUGUGGACCCACAUUUUUCACGUGUGUCCUCACUCAUCGACGAGACUCAUUCUUAUUGGUGAAAUAUUAGUUUUGGAAAAGUUGGAGUUGCCACUUAUUUUAUUUUAUUUUAAAAGGGAAAAUAAAACAAGAAAGAAAACCCUAAAGAAGUGACUCCAUAGUUUUGGAAAAGCAAGUCUUGAAAAACCCAAGUCUUGGUUCGAGGAUCAGGUUACCUAUUGGGAAGAUAAGACAUUAAAGUUAGCACAGAAAUAUAGCACACAACAUGUAUUUAAUCAAAGCAAAUCGAACUGACAUCUAGGCACCUAAGGAUGGAAUCAAACAUAAAUAAGGCUCACAACAACAUGCAUGUUCAUAGAAUUCCGAAAAGUAAGUGAUAGAGAGUGCACCUGGAUAGCAUGUAUAAUUUAUAAGAUUCCUCCAAAAAUGCUAGAGUGGUUAGGACAAGUAUAAAUUAUAUAACAUAUUCAUUACGUCUAAUAUGCAGUACCAAAGCCAAAAUUGAGCCAAGAUAAGUCGAAUGACUCCAAAAAUAGUAACAAUUUCAAGCAAAGUUUAAGAUCAUCAGCAUACAAUUAGAAAAUGGAGCAUCAAAAAGCAAUUUCUAAAAAAAUAUCUUGGAGUGGAGUUUAAUCACAAAAAAUUUUAGGAAACAACUCUUACACAUCUAGAAGAACAUACGAAAAACCAAACACUCAUUCAAAUGAUAGAUUGUAGCAAAGACACCCAAAAGUUCCAGAAGAUCCAGAUUAGGUAAAAAAAUAGUGACAUGCAUAAAUGAAUUUUUAAAAAAUAAUAAGUGAUCACAUAAAAUUGUACAAAAAAAUCACACAUAUCUUUCAAGGUGUAUAUAUCACAGGAAAAAUAAUUCUAGGGUUGGGGAGUACUCAAAAAUAUUUUUAAAACACUCUAACUAAUCAGGUGUCCAGAUUCCAUCAUGCACAGUAGGUAUGAUUUUGAAAAAUCAUAUUUCCCUCAAAAAUGCAUAUUUUUUAAUAGUUUAUAUGUCUAAGAUCAAUUUCAAGAAGUCUAGAAUUAAGAAAUUUUUUUAAAAAGUCAUAUAUUAUUUUAUUUUUAGAAAAAUACUUCGGGUGUCUAGAAUUGGGUGAAAACAAAGCCCUCUUAAAAACUCAUUUAUAUCUUCUAUUCCAUAAUUUCUUUCUAACUCAAAAGAAAUUUUAAAUUCAAGUUCAAGAAGUGAGGAAAAUCAUACUAGUUUUGGAAAUUUUUUUAAAAAUAUUCUGAAGUUGUUGAAACGGAUUUUAAAGCGAAAGGUCCAGUGAUUGAGUGGAAACUGGCAGCAAAGAAGAGUUUUGAAAAAAUGAUUUUAUGUAGGGGUUCCACCAAUUCCCCAAUUGAUAUACACAAAUCUAGCUUAGAAUUAUCCCAUUUGUUUGGGACCACAAGCUUGGAUUCGAGUCUUAGUCAAAACCAUAACUUUUAUUGAAAACUAAGAAAGAUGCGAACCGGUCAAGACAUGGUUGCAUAUUAUUUAAGAAAAUGAGAUUUUGAUUCUAAGGACUUGAGAUGAAUUUUUUAAAAUAGAUUUUCAAAGGGAUCUUUUGAGAAAAGUAUUUUAUUUUAAAAUAAAAGAAAUUAAUUUGAAAACAACAAAACAUAAGAAACAAAAUACCAAGCAAAACAAAAGAAAACAAAAUCACAAAGUAAAAUUUUUGACAACCAAGCAAACUAAAGUGGUGAGAAUGGAGCCAAAAUUCUCCAUUAUUUCUCCUCUAAACCAAGAAUUACAUAGCUGUUGUUUCUCCACUAACUCACCAUUAAUUCUCAUUGUAAAAAAAGUAUCCACAAAAGUUCAAUUACAAGGCCAUUGAAUUCCACUAAAACACUCACAUAUUCAAAUAGGAUUAAUCAAGAACUAAUAUUAAUGACUUUGAAGCAUAAAAUAAAUUAUAUGGGAUUGAUCAAAGUAAAAACAAAAAUUUUAGAACCAAUAGACUAAGAUGAGAUUCAGUCAAACUCUUAAGUCUAAUACCAAUCAAACUAAAUACAAUUGGAACCUAGAAUUGAAACAAUGAUAAUUGACAUAAUCAAUCAAACUCUUAAAUUUAAGAUCAAUCCACCUAAAAAAACGAAACUUGAAAUCAUGGAUAAUCAAUAAAAAUUAGUCAAAAUCCACAAUAAAAAUUAAAACUUGGAACCAAAGUCAAUCGAUCACGAAGGGUUUGAAAAGGGCAGGAUGAAGAGUGGAACUCUAGUUAUUUCUCGAAGUUCAGUUGAUUCGUCCCCAUUGCAGUCAUGCCAUUUGAUUCUGGCCCAAAUGGGUGUUACCAACAAAAUUUAUAAAACCCAAAUCACCUUACACUAGGGUAGUAUAGCUAACAUGGUAUAGUGGCUCUAGGAUCGUCCACAGGGAUGAGUUUUCAUCGUACAAUUGACUUUAGUGCAUGAAAUAAAAUGGUGUUUUUCCUUAUGAAAAUUAGCUUUUAAAGAAAAUGAAAUUGUGGUUGCAAAGAUUGAUUUUAAGUUAAGCAAAAACAAUAAGUGAAGUUAACUACAAAGAAAAGGUCUCUUGGAGCUUUAGGUCACUAGGAUCUGGUUCCUUAGGCAAAUGGGGAGAUUCCGAAUCUUUUCCUCGCGUUGGGGAGAAUAACAUAAAGGAUGGUUAUCUCCCGAACCGGUUUGUAUUUAGCAAUUAAGAUUUGAUCCAAAGGGUCCAUGGAAAAUGAUAGCUGCUUCCCAUUAAUGGCUUCAAACACUAAAGACCCUCACCUUAAACCACCUUAAAUGAUAACUAAUAGACACCCAUAGAUCUAGCAAUAAGCAUUCAUAGAAUCCGAAAAGCUUACCAAGUAUUGGCCAUUCAAGGUGAUUUUAAGGGAUUUAAAGCUAAACCUUGAAAUAAAAACCAUUAAUGGUUAACAACUACUUUCAUUUAAAGCAAGGACAACUCCCGUCUUUGCAUUCGGGUCCUUCACCUAGCUUCCAUCACUCCAAGAAAUGUAAAACUUAGCCACUCAUCCUCCGAGAAAUCAUCCUUAGAGGUUGUUUGGCUAAAAAGAAAAGUGAAAACAAAAUGAGAAGGAAAGAUAGAGCAAAAGCUCUGUAUAUUUCUUACUACUAGAAUUUUUACAAGUGUUCUUUGAUUACAUCCUUGUGUGUGUCUCUCAAAAGAUGUUACACACACCGAAUAUAUAAAAAGAUAUAUAAGAAAAUAUCUAAGUUGAUUACAAGGAGAAAAUAGCAAAUUACACAAAAUAUCUUGAGAUAAAAAUCUAACGGAGUCGAUGCACAGGAAGAUUUUGCAUGGUGUGCGAAAUUUCACCCAACCAUGCGAAAAUGCUAGUUGUUGGAUUUCUUUCUCUGGUUUUCUUCCUUACAUCUCUGAUUGGCUUGGAAAAAGGCUAUGAAGUGCUCUAAAACUUGGAUUCUUCAUGUAUUUGAGCUUUAACUCGCAUUGCCAUGGAUUUCACAAAAUUCUCCCUCAUUCUUGGCUUGUUUCAAUGAUCAAAUAGCUACCAAAAACACCAAAACUUGCCAAAAACUGAUUAAUAACCCUUGUUAGGUUCCUUAAUGUGCCAAUUGAGUUAAAAUGUAUUAACUACUACUCAAAAGUGUUUAAAACAGUUAGUUUCAAGCUAUAAAAGAGUACUUUUUGAGUAGUAAUCAUCAAUCGAUGCCUUGGUAUGUCGACAGAAGGGUUUGAAGAGAAAAUUUUGUAUCUCUUGAGGAGGAUGAAGGGGAGAAUCGACCAAAAGGGGCAGGAUGGGGAGUCUAGAAUUGACCAAAGUCUAAAACAAGCUUUCCAUUUGUACAUCUCAAAGUCUUUAGUGUUCUCUCAUACUCUCCUUUCUUUAUUUAUCUGCUUCUUGGCAUGUCUUGCCUUUGGUACAUGCAUUAUCAAGGACUCCACUCAUGCCUAAGGAUCACUAAUGGUCAAUGCUUCAAAAAGGAAGACAAAAGAGUAGAUAUACCAAGUCCUCCACCAAGCUUUAUAGAAUUGAAAAGCUAUUUUCAAUUCAUGUGGUUGGCUAAGAUACAUCCUUUUCCAAAACGAACCCUAUUAAAGAGCUUCGUGUCAAAUGCCAAGACACAGACAAAUAAACUUUGAAAAGAGCAAAGUAAAACGUUUUUCACAUCUUGUUGCAAGUCUAAUAUGGAAAGGGAAUUAUACUACUAUGGAAAGGCAACUCCUGCACUUGUCUCACAAGUGUUCCUUGAUUAAUUUGCCUUUAUUUCUCGUCAAAUAUCUUAUCAAAGGCAAUUGCAUGAAACUCAUCAAAUAAUUAAUUGGAGUGAAAAAGAUUACUGCUUCGUGAAGAGCAUGAAAGAAAAGGUCGGAGAAAGGGAAAAAAAAGUGUCAUACUUUACUGUGGUGUUUAUUUUUUGGCUGAAUAGAAAAAGCCAAAUAUUUUGGCUUUUCCUAUUAAGCUAAAAGUAAUCUGUUAAUGUAAACUAACAUAACUAAAAUGAACUUGUUAUCAAACCCAAAUAUUUUUACUUUUUUUAUUCAACCAAAAAACUCUAAAUGGACGAAAUGUUGAGCCUUCUAUGAAAAACUCCAAAUGAAGCUAUCUCCAUUUGGAGUCAUGAUGACAGGAAGAGAACGACAAAAGACUUCAACAAAUAAAUGGAACAAUAUAAUAAAUACAAGGUAUAUAAAUUUCCAGACUUCUGGUUGCUACACCCCACUAGAUAAGAGAAAGAAAAGGUAAAUAAAGCAAUAAAACUAGUAUUUGUAGUUUAUUACAAACCACAAACCUCUAUCAUCUCAUUACUCAACAAAACAUGAAGUUUCAAGAAGAAAAAAAGAGAGAAAUCAAACAAUAGUAGAAUAAAAAGAAAAAAAAGUGGAAAAGGAAAUAAGGAAGUACAAGAAACACAUGGAUUUAAAUUUCUAAAGAAAAUUGUGGUUGGAUGAUUUAAGGCAUGCUUGACAACUAGUUUUUUAAAAACAUUUGUUGUUUUUUAGAAAAAAAGAAAAAAAGAAAACAUGUUUGAUAAUUAGAAAAUAGAAAAUAGUUUAUAAUCUUAAAAACCAAAAAUAUCUUAUCUUUAGAAAAUAUUUUUUAGUUAUUUUCAAUUAUUUUUUGAAUACUUUAAAAAAAAAUAAUUAUAUAAAUAUAGAGUGAUUAAAACUAAAGUAUUCCAAAUAAAAGUUAUUUAAAAAAAAUAAAAAAUAUAGAAAAUAGAUUAAGAACAUUUGAGGUUUCUAAACAAAUUUUUGUAUUUAAAAACAUCAUAUAACAGUGUUUUUCAAAACUAUUUUCGAGAACAAUUCCCAAAUAGAGCCUUGAUAUCUAUGUCUCUUUGUUUCCUUCAUUGCCCAUUUAGGUUGUCACGUUCCAAAAGUUUUCAUAACCCCAUCAAUGUCAUUUUCCAUCCAAAUACACCAAGGGAAUCUUGUUCAAAGGUUGAAAAGGGUGGUGGUAACACACUAGGAUUAGCCUUGAAAGCUAGAGAAAAAAAAAUAAAAUAAAGCUUCUCCUAUGGAGACAAAUAGAAGGCUCCUCAUUUUAUUUACUUAAAAAAAAUUCCAUAUCUCCCUUGAAUUUUCUAUUUUAUGGUUAGGUGCUUAGAGAUUGAAGUUUUUGCUUUUAUUUCAAAUGAAAGACUUGCACAAUACCAUAGUUGACCCAAACACACAAGUUCUAAGGUUGAUGUAGAUCAACCCAAAGCAUAGUUUCACUCAGCCAACGGCAAGAAGGUUUGCAAGUACAAUAGCCUCAAGGGACUCAUACUACUACUUAACUUCCCAUUAAAUAGCUUAAGUCCAAUGCAAGGCAACUUUCAUUUUGCCUUUUUCCUUUUUUAAUACGAAAUAAGUAAAAGAAUCUAAUACAUGCAAGCUAGUGAUAGUACUUCUAGUAUGUAAGUGCCCAACUCUAUAAAAAGAAGAAAGAAUUAUAAAAGAAGUGAUGAGACUAACACCUUCAGUCUACGGUUCAAUACAAACCAUAAUCAAGUUGCAUUGCUACACUACAUAUAAUUAAGAAAUCCAAGCAAUUUUUACAUCAAUUCGUCGACAAAAACACAAGUUGGAGUAACACCAUGACUAACAAGGAAAAAGAAAUGAAGAAAGAAGUCCGAUAAUGCAAGCAAUAUACAUAGAUUAAGAAAUCUAUCAAGGAAAUUUGAGUUGGAUAAAUUCAGCCUCUGUGUCCCCUUCUUUCUUUCCUUGUCCAUUUUGUAUGUUGCUUUCCAAAGGUUUUUACGAACCAUUCAUGUUUCCAUGAGGUUAAGCAGUACCCAAUUGAAACUCCGAUUACUAGCCCACUUCCACAUCCCAUUAAUACAAAUUUCCAAUCAAAUUCACUAGUUGAACCUUGUUUGGAGGAUGAAGGUGUUGGUGGUGAUUGCUCAGAACUUCCACAUGCCCUUGACAAAGGACUUCCACACAAUCCUGGGUUCCCAUCAAAGGAAGCCCUUGAAAAUGUUGCAAAUUGUUUUCCUUGUGGUAUAGGCCCUGUAAGAUGAUUGUGAGACACAUUGAAGAAUGCAAGGAAAGUGAGUUGCACUAGUUGUUGAGGUAUCUCUCUCGACAGCUUGUUCUGAGAAAGGUCCAGCGCCUCCAGCAGGGUCAAGUUUGCUAAAGAUGUGGGGAUGGCGCCAAUAAGUGCAUUGUUGGAAAGAUUGAGCCAGCGAAGCCCAUUGGGAUUCCCAAUGGAUUCUGGAAUCUCUCCAUGGAACCGGUUGCUUGAAAGAUCAAUGGCUAUUAAUAUAUCAGGGAUCAGCUCAUAUUCUCUUGUCAUGCCUUUGUUCGUCAUUGUUGUUGAGAACGGGUAUGGUUCUUCCCAUGAAUAUUGUGGAACUUCAAAUUCCUCAUCCACUUGGAUAUAGGUCAAAUUUUCUGCAUCCACGAUUCUCAUUGCAUCCCAAUUUUUGAGGUAUUCUGAAGGCAAAUUACCUGUAAAACCAUUGUAAGAGAGGUCAAUGAUGCGCAGCUUGGAAAACUCAAAGUUAGUUUUGGGGCUCCCUAUUGCACCAUGGAAUCUGUUGAAUCGCAAAAUGAGGACCUGUAACCUCGGAAGAGAUCCCAACCAGAAAGGGAAAAUAUCGUUGAUCAGAUUGUUUCCAAGAACAAGCUCCUCAAGCAUCAUGCAACUGGCCAAUGAUUUUGGUAUUUGCCCUUGUAAUUGAUUCUCACUUAAGUCGAUCAUCCUCAAAUUGCUUGUGUUGGUGCAUGUUUGAGGAAUGGGGCCAUUCAAGUUGUUGCGUCUGAGAUUGAGUAUAGACAAUGAAGAGCUAAGUUUGGUGAAGCAUUGAGGGAUACUGCCACUUAAGUUGUUACCAGACAAAUCAAGCAAACUAAGAGAAGUCAGGUUGCAGAUCAAAGAUGGAAUUUCUCCAGCCAGUCUAUUUCUAGAGACUGAAUAUUCAACGGUUGAUGAUGGAGGAACUGGAAGUGAUCCCUGAAGCAUGUUAGAACUAAGUUCCAAAAUGCUCAUCCUGGACCAUGGAAGAACAUCUGGAACUUGGCUAAAGCCUGAAAGGAAGUUGUUAGAAAGGAACAGAGCCUCUAGGGUUUCUUUGCUUAUGUUCCACAUCCACUUUGGAAUUGGACCAUGGAUUUUGUUAGUAGAAAGGAUGAGAACCUCCAAUUCUUGUUGGUUCUGCAAGAAAUCAGGAAACUCAGUUAAGUUGCAUGAAGCCAAUCCUAAAAGCUUGAAUUUAGGGAGAGUAGCAUUGGUACUGGUGUAACUGAGCAAGGAUAUCCUGUUGUAUGAUAAUUGCAGAUCAGUGAGAUUUUUGAGGUUUGAUAACAUGUGGAGUUCCACUGUUCCAGUCAAAUAAUUGGAAUGUAGAUAAAGAUAUUGAAGAUUUACUAGUUCAAAUAAUGAACUUGGGAUAGGACCUUCUAAUUUGUUUUCCUGAAGAUAUAAUUCGGUCAAUUGGGUGAGGUUCAUGAGCCAAGAUGGGAUCUGACCAAUCAAUUGAUUCUUUGAAAGAUUCAAAAUAGUUAGUUCACUCAUGUUUACAAGAGAGGAUGGGAUUUCACCAUUUAAAUUUAUUUGGUCGAGAUACAAAAUAGUGAGUUUUGUUUGUUCACCAAGCCAAGCAAGGGUCCCAGCACUGAAAUUAUUUGAAGUAAGUGAUAAAUAAGUGAGAGUGGUAAGAUUUGCCAAGAAAGAAGGAAUUGGACCACUAAAAAAGUUAUAUGAAAGGUCUAAAUAAGACAGCUGGGUAAGGUGACCAAGUGAAGAUGGGACCAAUCCUGUGAAAUUGCAUGAGCUGAUAUCCAAUUCAGACAAAGAACUAAGCUUCCCCAUUGAAGCUGGUAGCUCGCCCGAAUAACUUGUACCAGCAAGAUACAAAACUUUUAGGGGACUGGUUUCCUGAAAUUCAGGGAAAUAAAUGUUCAGAUUUGGAUUGUACCUCAAACUAAGAAAUUGUAGGCUUGGUAGCUGAAGAAUUUUCUUUGGGAAUUCACCAUGCAAUCCACAUUCUCUGAGACGGAGAGAUGUCAAUGAAGAUAAAUUUGCCAACGCAUGAGGUAUUGUUGAAGAAAUGUUCACCUGGCUUAGAUGAAGUUUCUUGAAGAGGGUCAAGUUUUGAACCAGAUUUCUCAAGCCAUGUUUUUGAAGCUGCAACAUUGGGUUUCCCGAGAGAUCAAGGAAUACCAAUUUAGACAGUGCUAAGAGUACUUCCGAUGGGAUUUGGCCCGAGAAUUGAGAAUCCGAGAGGUUUAGACUUCUAAGCCUUGAAAGCUGACUGACUCCAUGUGGGAUCUCAGAGUAAUUGAAAUCAUUAUCAGAAAGGUCAAGCCUCCGGAGAUGAACAAGGCUGAAGAGGGUGCUGCUGGAGUUGAUAGAACCAUAGAGACAACUGCUGGCAAGAUGAAGGCCGAUGACAUGACCAGUCUCCCUGUCACACUCAACACCAUCCCAUGAGCAGCAAUCACUUCCCUCUCCAUGGGAUUUCCAUGUUGCAACUUUUGGAUAAGCAUAAGAAUCUUCAGAAGCAUAUUCAUCAAUCAAAAAGCUCUGCUUGAACUGAAGCAAGGCAGAGCUCUCAUUAUCAUGGCACAGUGGCUGCUGCACAGAUGAGGAAGAAUUAGUAACAAUUAGAUGAAAUGAUGAGAGUAAAGCGAGAAAGCGCAUCAAGAUGAAGAGAUACAAAAUUGACCCCAUGAUUCUAAUUCACUCUCUUUACCACUACUCUUGAAUAAACUAGGGAUCGAAUGAUGAGCUUUUAUAGAUAGGACUAAAGUGCUUUUCCGAAGUGAUGAAGAAGGCCCUGUUAUGCCAUAAUAUAGACCUGUCCCUCAAGUCUUUAGUGGAGCUGGAAGGCACAUUUCAAAGUCUAAGUAGUCUUUUCUUUCUUUUUCCUUCUUUUUUAUUUUUUAUGUGAUAAAGUGAUUACUCUUGUAAUUGACUCCUGGUUUCUGAAUCUUGUUACUUUAUCUCCUAUCCUUUUAGGUUGUGUUUGAUUCCAAAAGAUUUGAGAGAAAAUGUGAAAAAAGAAAAUAGAGAAAAAAAAAAGAUUUGAAACCAAUAACUUAUUUUUAAAUACUUUUUUAAACUUAUUUUAUUUAUUUUCCUCUAUUGUAUGAAGAUUAAACAAUUAAAAAAUACAUAAAUUUUUAGCUAAUUUUAAUUAUAUUUGAGUGAAUUAAUUGGUUAAAAACAAUGAAAUAAUCCUCAAAUUUGUAAAUCUAACUCUUUUCAUGUUUUUACUUGAAAAUCAAUCCAUUUUUUUUUUACGUAAAUUCCUUUUUAUUAUUUCAAGCAUUUACACAUAAGUUUUAUAAUAAAAAGUUACUUUUAUAAAAAGAGAAUGAAGACAUUUUUAUCAAAAUAAGAUCAAAAAAUGAUGAAAGGUUAAUUAUAUUUCAAAAAAUUGGGUUCUCAAUGACCCUUCUAAUCAAAUAACCCUAUUUGAUUUUCUUUUAGGUUUUUCAUAGUGAAAUCAAACAUAAGAAACCAUUUUCCUGAACAUUUUCUUAUCUUACAAUUUUCCUGAACAUUUUCUGCAUGCUCGAUUCCUGAACAUUUCAUAGUUCUUAUGUUUGGUUCUCAGAAAAUUUGAGGGAAAAUGCAAGGGAAAGAAAAUACAAAAGAAAAAUAGAAGGAAAGAAAAAGUGAAGGAAAAUAAAAAAUGAAUUAAAAGUUGAUAAGUUAUUUUUAUUUUUUACUUCAAACUCAUUUUAUUUAUUUUAACUCAUCAAUAUAAAGAUUAAAUAAUUUUAAAAUACAUAAGUUUUUAAUUAGUUUUAAUUAUAUUUGAUUUUCUUUUAUAUUUUUCAUAGGACAACCAAACAUGAAAAAAUCAUUUUCCUUUGUAUUUUUUUUUUCUUUCCUUAGUAUUUUCCGGGAACCAAACAUAACCUAAAUAUUUAUUAUUAUUUUUCCUAUCAAAAGAAAAUGUCUUUCGUAUAGUUUGUAAUUUAAAAGGUAUGUUAAACAAGAAUUAUGGUUGUUACUACUGCAACCAACCAAACCUCAAACCGGAGAAAACGGAAAGCAGCCAAACCUCAAAUUAGUGAAAACAGAAGACUUAAAAUGAAACUAUUUUUUUUUUUUUUUUCUGAGAUUAGACCCCAUAUUCCACAGCAAAGGGAAGUAAGUUAUAUUUACUGCUAAUAUUGAAAUCAUAAAGGUCUACAUUUCAUAUAUUAACACCGUGAAACUUCUUACCCAUCAACUAAGAAAGAAAAAGAAGAGAAAAACAUUAACAAAGCAACACAUUCAAUUUCUACGAUCUUACCCUCCUUUAUCUAUUUUCUCUCACACUUGCCAAAAGUCUUUGUGCUUGUCUUGGCAUUUGGUACACGCAUUAUCAAGCGAUCCACUCAUGUCUAAGGAUUGCUAAUGUCCAACACUUCUAAAAAUCAAAGUAGAAUAUGCCCUCAUUUGAGUCAACCCCUGUCCCUAAGUCCCCCCCAAAAUUGAGCUAGCUAGUCAAGAAAAAGGAAGACAUGGGCAUAGUUACACCAAGCCACCCAGCAAGAUUUAUGGAAUUGAAGAACCAUAAUUAGUUUAAGUGGUGAGCUAAGAUAUAUCCCUUUCCAACACCAACCCCAUUAAAGAGCUUAGUGCUGAAUGCCAAGAUAGGCACAAAUGACUUUGCAAAGGUCAAAGUAAACAUGUCCACAUCCUGUUGUAGGCCUAACAUGGAAAAGGGAAGUAUGCUGCCAUAGAAAUAAAUGCAACCUUUGCACUUGUCACAAGCAUUCCAUAUUAAUUUGGCCUCCAUUCCUCGUGAUAUUUUUUAUCAAAGGAAAUUACAUGAAACCUACCUCAUAAUUGGAUUGAAAAGAAUAACUACUUUGUGAAGAGUACAAAAGAAAAGAAGUGCCAAUAUAUUAGUGAGAACAAAUGUAUCACAUACUGAUAUCAUUCAAAUGGAAGAAUUAAUUGAUAAAGAUUACCUGAGAGAGAAAAAGGGAAAGCUUCUCCUAUAUAGUUCUUUAAAUAAAUAAAAGACUUAUCAUUUGAUAACUUAAAAAAAUGUUGCAUAUUUUAUGUAAUGGAAAUGAUUUGUUAUUUGCUCCUAACUAUUUAAUUAGUUUUAUGCAUAAUUGGUUCUUAGAAAUUAAAGUUCUUGUCUUUAUUUCAAAUGAGAAACUUGCAAUACCAUAGUAUAUUUGGGGAAGGGAAAAUCCUGUUGAGUAAAUGAUUCAACUGUUAAUCCAUGAUAUGUCAUGGAUACGUUCUCAUUUGUGUUCUAUGACAAAGGACUUCAGCAUCUGGUUGAUAAACAAAGUCAUUUUUUUUUUCAUUUUUUAAACAAAAUCAUCUGGUUGAUAAAAAAAUAUAUGUUGAACUGAUGAAAUAAAAAUUCCCAUUUACUUCAUAUCCAAAAGAUUUGUGUAUGUUAUAUCCUUACUCUAAAGUUUCUGGAAAGAAGAUUUAUAAAAUGAUGAAUAACAUUACCCCCUUCUCUUCGCUUUUCAAAUUAUAAAAAAGAUUAAGGUAAGGAUAUUUUUACUUAAUUUCUUGACACAUGCAAAAGGCUAAUCUAAUGACUACACAUCCCACCGAAAUUCCAAUGCAGAAAUGGAGGUAUGCCUAUUUGGAGUUUCUAGUUCUACGUCCUAGUUCAUGCUAUAUAUCUGAUCUAUUCUAGUAUAGAAAGCAAGGCAACCCUAUACUUUUCACGGGAGUUCUCUUAAUAAUUUCAUCUCUUUUUCCAUUGAUAGGCAAUAACAUGGGAUAGAUUAUUUGAUAUGAAUAAAAAAUACUACCUAGAUUAUUAAAGAAAUAAAAAGGUCGAAGAUAAAAUUAAAGUUAUGAGAAUGGAAAUAGAGAUUAUAACAAUUCUGCAAUUAUUCAAGUUAAGCUCCAUGUCGGAAGCGUUUUCAAAAACAUUUUUGAAGAACAAUUUUUUAAAAUUGAUGUUUUGUCGAAAAGACUUUAGAAACUUAAAGAAAUUGUUUUAAUUUGUUUUCUAUGUUUUUAAAUAUAUUUUAAAAAUAACUUUUAUUUAUAGUGCUUUAUUUGUUAAACAUUCUCUAUAUUUAUAUAAUUAAUUUUUAAAAAUAACUAAAAAAUAUUUUAUGAAAAUAUCAUAUUUUCUAUUUUUUGUUGUAUUGACAUAUUUUUCUAUUUUUUUUAAAUUUAUAUAUUCUGAAGAACAUGAAAUUGUUUUCAACAACAAUUGCUUAACAAGGUCUAAGGCAUGUAGAUCCCUACCAUACGCACUCAAUUCUUAUUUUUUAAGCACUUCAUUUUAAAAUUUUGUAAUUUUGAAAUAAACUUACCCAUGAUAGGUGAUUUAAGUGGACUAUUAAUUAUGAAAAAUAACUCUAACUCUGUUAGUUUUGUCUCUCUCUUAGUGACUAAAAUAUAAGAGUUGUCCAUCAACCAACUCCCAUAUAGAAAUAUUCAUGGGAUGGGACAUAUAUAACGUAAAAAUAAAUAAAUAAAUAAUUUAGGGCCUUUUAUAAAUUUGUGUGUUUUCGUCACUUUAUGGGAUAAGGUUUUCUAGGCUUCCACUAUUUUAGAAAAAUUUGGCUAUGUUUGAUUCCUGAAAACUUUAAAGGAAAAUGUAAAGGAAAGAAAAUAAUUAAGAAAUGAUUUUUUUUUAUUAAAAAAAUUGAUUUCAAAGUAAUAAAUUAUUUUUAUAUACUAUUUCAAACUCAUUUAAUUUAUGUUUACUCUUCUAUUUUUUUUUUAUACAUUUUUAACUAAUUUUAAUCAUAUAUGAAUUUAUUUCUAUUUUUGAUGAUAAAACCAAAUAUAAGAAAAUUAUUUUCCUCGGAAUUUUUUCUUUUCUUUUAAUGCGUUUUUAAAACCAAACAUAGCCUUAAUAAAAAAUAACAGAGCUUUGAAUUUCCCAUAUAACUUACACCCACAUAUAAAAUAAUGUGCAACAUAAAUUCUUUUGAAGCAUAACCUAAAUGGUUACUUCUGCAACCAAUUACGCUUUAAGGAUCUUUGAAGGUAAUUAGAUUUAACAAGACUAUUGCUUAUUUUUUCUAUUAAAUAAAGAAAUUAAAGAGCUAAAUUUAAUUGAAAUAAACAUAUAUUCUUCAUAGAUCAAUGUUAAACAUCACCGCAAAGGAAGAUGCUUAGAGUUUAUACUCUAUUUGGGUCAUGUAAAGUUUGAAGGAAAAUACAAUUAAAUUUUUGGACAAAGAGUAUCUAUUGGCCAUUAAGAGAGUAAUUGUGUACAUAAAAUAAAAAAUUUAGUUCAUUGACAUAUGUUUAAAAAAAGUGAAUUAUACUUACUUCUCUAAUUCAUUAGAAAUAAAAUAUUUUAACCAAUUUCAUUUUCAAUAAAAAAUAUAAUUUAUACCUUUAUUAAAAUAUUAAUAUCUAUAUUUUAUCAUUAUUUCUUAACAAAAAAAAUAUCAUUCAUAUAUUACUAAAUACUAUUUAUAAAGUGUCUAGUGAGAUUUCUUACUAUUGUAUUAAUUCUUUUAUAAAAUUUUAAACUUAAUUUCUUAUUAUUUACCCAUGGUUUUUUAUUUUAUUUAUGUUUUUAAAUUUGUUAAUUAAUAUCUAAAAUUAUUGAGAAUGACAACAAGGGUAUUAUUAAAUGUUUUUAAAAGUUAAGAAUGCAUGGUUAUCAUAUGGGCAUAGGGCCGGAGCAUUGUUAGAAAGAUUGAGCCAGUAAAGCCCCUUGGAAUCCUGGAGUCGCUCUUUGGAAUUUGUUGAUUUGCUCAUCCUUGUCAUUGAGAACCAACAAAUAUCAUUCCACGAAUAUCUUGGGAUUUCAAACUCCAUAUCUGCUUGCAUAUAGAUUGAUUGAUAUGUUUUUUUAAGCUAUCCUUAGGCUUAGGGGCUCCUUUAAGCAAAAUCUCCAUUUAUUAUAUGACCUGCAUUGGCUUAAGCUGAUGAACCGCCUCUCUCUUAGAUUGAUGACUUGAUAGAAGCUCUGGUGGAGCCCAAAUUCCACAAGCGAUGAGACCGGGAGAAAGCUAGUCAACCACAAAAAUAGUGUACGUCCUUGACCUCUUUACAGUUGUUGAAUUAAUGGCCAAAAUUCAUUUAAGAAUGCUGGGCCUUAUAUGAAAAACUCCAAAAGAAGCUGACUCCAUUUGGAGUCACGCUCACUCUUUUUCCAAGUUCAAGCGGCAAACGUGAAGAGAAUGGCAAAAGACUUCAGCAAAUGGACAGUAGUAUAUGUAUGAAAGUCUAUUUGGGAAAGAGAAAAUUCUGUUUGGAGUAAAUGAUUCAACUGUUAAUCCAUGACAUCCCAUUGGAAUUCCAAGGCAGCAAUGGAGGUAUACCUGUUUGGAGUUUUUGGUUCCAUGUCCUAGUCCAUGCUGUAUAUUUGGUCCAUUCUAGUAUAGAAAGCAAGGCAACCCUGUACUUUUCAUAGGAGUUCUCUUAAUAAUUUUAUAGCUAAAUCUAGAAUAGUAACUAGAUUAUUAAAUAAAUAAAAAGUUACAAGAUAAAAUUAAGGUUCCGAGAUAUAAAGAUAGAGAAUGAUAAUAGUUCUGCAAUUCUUCAAGUUAAGCUUUGUGUGGGGAGCAUUUUCAAAACCAUUUUUGAAGAACAUUUUUUAAAAACUGAUGUUUUAUAAAACAAAAGUUUGUUUAAAAACUUGAAAAAAAAAUAUGUUAUUAAUCUAUUUUCUAUGUUUUUAAUAUGUUUUAAAAAUAACUUUUAUUUAUAAUACUUUAUUUGUACUUAUUCUCUAUAUUUGUAUAAUUAUUUUUUACAAUAGCCAUGAGAAAAUAACUAAAUGAUACUCUUUGAAAAUGCCAAGUUUUCAUUUUUUUUUUUGUCAAACAUGUUCUCCUUUUUUCUUUAAUUCUAAAGAACAUAAAAUUGUUUUCAAUAACAGUUGCUAAAUAGGGUCUAAGACCAGCACAACCCUAACAUAUGCACCAAAUUCUUAUUUUUAAACACUUAAUUUCAGAAUUUUGUAAUUUUGAAAUAAAUUUACACAUGAUAGGUGAUUUAAGUGGCCUAUUAAUCAUCAGAGAUAUCUCCCACUUUGUCAGUUUUAUCUCUCUCUUAGUGACUAAAAGAUAGAGUUGUCCAUCAACCAACUCCCUUAUAGAAAUAUUCAUCUUAUUCAUGGAAAAGAUAUAAGUUAAACAAAUUUUAGGAUCUUUUAUAAAUUUGUGUGUUUUCAUCACUUUAUGGGAUAAAGUUAUUAUAUACACUCGUAAAGAAUUGUGAUACUUAGAUAACACAAAAUCUCAUGAUUAUGGCUAGAGGUAAAUUUUCUAGGCUUCCAUUAUUUUAGCAAAAUUUAAGCUAUGUUUGCAGUGAUAAAUUGUUUUUUAAGAAACUAGCAAGUCAUUUAGGAUAAGUUUUGGUUAAUGAUUUUUUUAAUAGUUUUAAGUUUUGUGGAUUUAAUUAAAUUAAUUUUAAGGUUUCAAAUUAUUUUUAAAAAUGAGUAAAUCCUAUAUGUCAAAAUUUGUUUGAUUUUGAAUCUAUUUACUUAAUAAAAUCAUUUAAAGAAGUUAAAAGGACAUUCAUAAAAAACUAGUUUUUAAAAUGGAUGUAAUAAUUAUCCAUUUUUCCACACUAAAAGCCCUUGUCAAGGUCUAGUGCCAAAGGUAAAAACAUUUUAUAGGUAUAGGCCAAACUAACUGCCUACACAUUCCAUCGGAAUUAUAACAUAAAAGUGUAAGAAUAUUUUUUUAAACAACUUUCAAAAAAAGUUCUUGUUAAAUGUAGUUUUCAAAAAAUGGUUUUUGAAAACAAUUUUUAAAAACAGUUUCUACAAACAAUAUUUUUCAAAAAUAAUUCUCUGAUCAUAUUUUUAGAAUAAAAGUUUGUUCAAGACUUGAAAUAUUCUCAACAUAUUUUCUGUAUUUCUAAAUGUUUUUUAAAAAUAGCUUUAAUUGACCUAUGGUGGUUUAUUAUUAAUCAUUCUCCAUAUUUAUAUAAUUACUUUUUAAAAUCAUUAUGAGAGGCAAGUGAAAGCAACCAAAACAGUUAAAAUAUACUAUUAGAAAAUACCAUGUUUUUAAAGCAAUUAUUAAAACCCUAUUUUGAGAAUAAUUGACAACCAAACAUUUUCAUUUUUUGGAGUUUAACUAGGCUGCGAAAGCAAAGCAACACCAUAUAUUUAAAAUAUUGGGUCGGGGGUAGGGUAUGAAGCAAGAAACACAUUGAUUGAAAUCUUUCAAGGAAACUGUGGUUAGAUGAUUCGGUCUCUGUGUCUCCCUGUUUCCUUCCUUCUCCAUGUUUCCAAAAGUUUUCAUGUACAAACCAUUUAUGUUUCCACCUGGUCAAGCAGUAGCCAAUAGAAACUCCAGUUACCAUUAAUAUGAUUUUCAAGUCAAAUCCCUGUCAAUUGAUUGUCUCAACAAGAUAACUGAGGAUGGAUGAGGGUGGGAUUGUAACUGAUCGUGUAGCAUAUUAGGCCUUAGAUUCAAAUGUUGGACACUAGCACCAGGAAGAGCAGGCAAGGCCAAAGACCAUUUUUUUUUUUUAAUGAAAUGAACAGAGAAAAAACAUGUAGCAUUAUCAAGGACUCCACUCAUGUCCAAGGAUCGCUGAUGUCUAUGUAAAGUUCCAAUAGAUGAAGCUACACUCUUAAAUGACUUAUGAGUCAAUUUGUGUCCCUCACUUUCCCAACAAAUUGAGCUAGCUAGUCAAGAAAGGAAGACAAAAUCAAUACACCAAAUCAUCUAGCAUGCUCGGUAGAAUUAAAGAAGCAUUUUUUGUUCAUAUAGUGAGCUAAGGUAAAUCCCCUUUCCUACAAUAGGCCAACUUAUAAACCUUAAGUACAUAAUGCCAAGACAGACAUAAAUGACUUGUAAUCAUCCGUUUCCAACUGUGUAAAUAUUAUCUGCUCUAAGUUUAAAGGAGAUAUUACAACUUCAAAACAUAUCUACAAGGUUAAGAUCUUUCCCAACCGUGUAAAUAUUAUCCACCCUACGUUUAAAGGAGAUAUCACAACUUCAAAACAUAUCUACAAGGUUAAAAGAAGCGCGUACAUAUAUAACAUUCAAAAUUUUUUCUCCUAUUUGAUAUGAGAUAUCAUAAUUACUCUCGUGUAGAUAUAAUGUUCUUAUUGUAUCCCACAGGAUUGUGAGGUUAAACAGAUAGACACUCGUUGUAAGGUCGAACAAAUAGACUCUCACAUUAAAAUUGAAGAUCGACUCUAAUACCAUUUGUAAUAACCAACUCUCAAUUGUGUAGAUAUUAUCCGCUUUAAGCCCAAAUGAACCUUCAUAGGUUAAGAGGAGUCCAAAUAUAUAUAUAUUGCUAAGUACUUUGUAUCCUAUCUGAUGUGAGAUAUCAUAAUCACUUCCCCAUGCAGACACAACACAUAGUAUCCUCAUUAUGUGUCAUAGAAUUGUAGAGUCAAAUAGACAAACACUUCUUAUAGGCCAAACAAAUUCCCACAUCAGGAUUGGAGUGCCAUUUAUAAUAGUCGUUCCCAACCGUGUAAAUAUUAUCCACUCUAAGUCCAAAGGGAACCCCACAACUUUAAAAUGUGUUUAUAAGGUUAAGAAAGCACAUACAUCUAUAGUGUUGGAAACUUCUCCCAUCCAAUAUAAGAUAUCAAAUGACUUGUGGUCAAGGGUUGCACAACCAUGUUCAGAUAUGAAGAGGGAUCUAUGCUGCUAUAGAUCUAGAAAGAACUACAACCUCGAUGCUUAUCAUAAAUGCUCCUUAUUUAUUUACUUCCAUUUCUCAUAAUAUCUCUGAAAGGCCAUAUUGCAUGAAACCUAUCUUAUAAUUGGAUUAAAAAUGAUACAUGCUUCGUGAAGAGUAUAAAAGAAAAGAUCGGAUAAAAAAAAAAAAAAGUGCAGUUAAUACUAUAAAUCGCACAUGUGAUAUUAUCCAAAUGGAAGCAUUAGUAGAGAUUGGCAGAGAAUGAAAAAAAAAAGAAGAAGAAUUGAUUAAUUUAUUACUUGCUUAUAAGCUUUUAGCUUUAUCUUAGAUGCUCAAGAGUUUAAAGUUUCCUUAUUUUAAAUGAAAGACUUCCAAUACCAUAGUACCUCCAACAUAUAAUUUCAUUUAGUGCUACUGGCCAUAUCGACCUUGUUGUUGGCCGGUUUGUCUGCUUUCUUAAAUUGGAUGCAUAUUUGUACUCAAAAAAUAGUUUAAGAAAAAUAAUGUUUAAAGAGUAUAUAUAAAAGCAACCAUUGCACCCAACUUGAUAAAAGAAAGAAGGGAUAAUAAAAGAAGUAAUAAGACCAACACUUUCAGUUGCAUUGCUACAUAUAAAAAACCCAAGUAAUUUUUACAUCCUAUAAGAUCAAUGCUAACCUCAGUCCACUCACCAACGAAAACAAAAGUUCAAAACAUCACCAACAAAGUAAGAAAAAAAAGAGAAAAGAAGAAACAUGAAACCCAACAAUGGAAGCAAUAUACAUGGAUCAAGACACCUUUCAAGGAAACUAUGGUAAGAUAAAUUCAGUCUUCUCCGUUUUAGUUGCUGCCUUCCAAAAGUUUUCACAAACCAUUCAUGUUUCCAUUUGGUGAAGCAAUACCCAAUAGAAAUUCCAAUCACUAGCCCGCUUCCAUAUCCCAUUAAUACAACUUUCCAAUCAAAUUCACUUGGUGGACCUUGUUUAGGGGAUGAUGGUGUUAUAUAUUAUUUUAGUUUAAUUAUUUUUUAAUAUCAAUAAUAGUCUUUUUAGCUUUUCUUGUUGACCUAUAUAAAGCUUUUUAUGUAAUAUCUUUUUUAAGUCUUUUGUUAGCGAGACCUAGCCUAGCUUUCUUCUUAUUCCUUUUCUUUGUUUUCGCAGUUCUCACAGAUGGAGCUGGUGGUGAAGCCUCAGAAUUUCCACAUGGAAACUUUUGGAUAAGCAGAAGGAUCAUAAAAAGCAUGCUCAUCAAUCAAAAAGCUUUGCUUGAACUGAAGCAAGGCUGAGCUCUCACUAACACAGUGGCUGCUGCAUAUAUAGAUGAGGAAGAGUUAGUCACAAUAAGAUAAAAAGAUGAGAAUAAAAGGAGAAAGCGCAUCAAGAUGAAGAGAUACAAAAUUGACCCCAUAAUUCAAAUCAGUCACUUUACCGUACUCUUGAUUAAAGUAGGAAUCUGACAAUGAGCUUUUAUAGAUAGGAGUAAAGUCCUGUGUAAUGGUUUCCGGAAGUGAUGAAUAAUAGGCGUGUCCCUCAAGUCAUUAGUGGAGCUUGAAGGCAAAUUUCAAAGUCUAAAUAAAUAAAUAAAUAAUUCAUUUGCAGAAGGGGGCAUAGUAACAUUUAAAGUACUCUCUGCAAACUGGGGGAGUCAAACUCACUUUUUUUCCAAGCUCAGGUGGCAGACAUGAAGAGACUGGCCAAAGAAUUCUUCGUAUGGACAGAAGAACCGUGUUUGAAGAUCUAAUGGGGAAAGAGAAAAUCCUGUUUGCAGUCAUUUAUUCAACCGUUAUUAUCUUCAAAUACAAGACAUUCCACUACGUACCAAAUGGGUAUUAGAAUCUCUCCUUUGAAUUUGUUGCUUGAAAGAUCAAUUGCUCUGAAGAUAACAGGGAUCUUAUCGAACACCCUCUCCAUGCCCUUGUUUAUCAUUGUCAUCGAGUAUGUGUAAUUGUCAGAUAACCUGAUUUGCUGUGUAUUGAAAGAUCUGUGCUUGCUUGUAUGUAUGCCAGCUUGUUGACAUCAACAGAAACUUUCACGCAAUCUAAAUUUUUAUCAGAUAAGCCUAAGUCAGUUUUUUGAGCUUAAGAAACAUAUGCCCAGCUCCAAUGCGCCAUUCAAGUCAUUUGAAAGUAGAAUAAGAGUUUCAAGGUUUGUGAGGUUAGGUUUUUGGAGCUCCAAUGGGUUUGAUCAUAAGAAACACAGUUCGUCUGUAGGAAAUUUAGUCUCAUUUCCUUUUAUUGCAGUGGCUGGUGUUGAUGUUGUUGUUUGUUAUUGGAAAUCAAUUGCCUCUUUGUCACAAGAUUUUUAGGUGAGAAGAUGGAAAUGGAGGAUCCAAAAUAGAGACAGGAAGUGAGAUGUGUUUUAGAGCAAGUCAAAUUUGAAGAAAAGAGAUGAAGUAGAGACACACAAAUUUGUCACAAAUUAUUAAAUAACAAAGACAAGCGAGUCACAUUUACUACUUAUAAGCAAAUCAUCAGAGCUCUCUGCAUACCAUAUACUUACCCCACACUCGAUAAAGAAAUUAAAAAGGAAACCACAACAAUACAACAUUACGUCUUAUUUACAAACCAUUCAUGUUUCCUUCUCUGCCUCUUGCCUCUUGCCAAAAGUAUUCACAAACCAUUCAUGUUUCCUUGUGGUCAAGGUGUGCCCAAUAACUACUCCCACCACCAGCCCACUUCCAUAUCCCAUCAAUACCAUCAUCAACUCAACUCUGAUUCCCAACUUGGAGUCUUCAACUUGUCUGGAGGUUGAAAGCGGCAGCGGUAAUGACUUAAAGAUCCUGCACUUCUUUGACAAAGGGACCUCCUCACAAUCCUGGGUUUCCCUUGUAUGACUCAUUUUGAAAUGUAUCAAAUUGUUUGCCUUGUGGUAUAGGUCCUGUGAGAUGAUUGUGGGAAACGUUGAAGAACUCAAUGAAUGUCAUCCUUGUUAGUUGCUAGGGGAUCUCUCCUGAUGCUUGUUCUAGGACAGAUCCAAUGACUCCAUGUAACGCCCAAGUUUUCUUUUUAAAGGGUAAUUUAGGAAAUUCUUAAUAAUGAUAUUAAAUUAAUUAAUUAAUUAAUUAAUUUAAUAAAAUGGAAGAGGGGUGAAAAGGUAAUUUUACGAAUAAUACCCUAGGUAUAAAUAGAAAAUUCUCUUUUUCUUGUUCUUUUUUUUAAUCGUAUUCCUGUUCGCAGAGAGUUUCCAAAAAACGUGAAGUUGAGGUUAGAUUUCAAGGUUUGAAGAACAAACCUCUAUAGGUAAGAUUCUAACCCUAGAUUAUUAUUUUAGAUUCAUUAGUUAAUUUCAAGCACAUUAGAUAUUUUUUUUUUUUGGAAAACCCCAAAUCUAGAUUAGAGUUAGUUUAUUUAUUUUUUAAUUCGUCUUAAUACCAAAUAGUGAAAAUUUAAGAUUUUGAUUUAUUAUUGGAAUUGGGGAGAUCUUAAGUUUUUUUUUUUUUAGAAAAAAAAAAAUUCCUAUGAAGAUUUCGAUUUAGAUUAGGGUUAUUUUAUUAUUAUUUUUAAUUCGUUUUAAUAUCAAAUAGUGAAAAUUUAAGGUUUCGAUUUAUUGUUGGAAAUCGGAAAUUCUUAAGUUUUUAGGAAAAAAAAAACCUAGAAGACGCGUGUGCACACUGUGGAAUUGGAGAAUGAAAAAAAUAAUAUAAUAUAUAUAUGGGGUGUGGGUGUGUGUACGGAUGGAUGAAGAGUGUUGUUAGUUAAUAUAUAUAUAUAUAUAUAUAUAUAUGUCUAUUGUUUGUUGGCAAUAAUGGAGUAUUGUUGGGAAUAAAAUUUAUGUUUAAAAAUAAAAAUAAAAAUGAGAGAAUAGAAGUUUUAAAUAAAAAGGAAGUAAAGUUUUUUUUUGAUAUUAUAAUUAUGAGCGUAAGUUAAUAAAUAACAUAGAAAUUAAUUAUUGAAAUAAAUUAUAGUUUAAUUAAGUUGUGUCCCAAGAAAUAAAUUUUAAAAUAAAUAAAUAAAUAAAUUCAAUUUUAUAUGAAUUAGAAAUUUAUUCAUUUUUAAAAUAUGAAUAGAUUAAAUUACCUUUCAUAAAUAUGUAAAAAUAAUAAUAAUAAUUUGAAUACCUAAAAUUUUAGAAUUGUCAAACCUAUAAUUUUAGAUAAAUAGUAAUAAUUGUUCCUCUUAUGUUUUGUUAGGUGAAGAGUAGAUUUUCAGGAUUAUUUUUCUCCAAAGUUUUUGAGGACUUCUUUUGAGGUAAGGGAAAUUAAUGCAUUUGUUAAAUUCUUUUUUUGAAACAAUUUUAUAUAUAUAUAUAUAUAUAUACAUUAUUUGAAAACGUUUGAGGUUAUAUUCCGUUUUAUGCAUGGAUCAAACCUGUUUUGCAUGAAAAGUAUGUUAGAAUUUUAUAUUAUAUUUUUGACAAAUAAAUGUGGAGAUAUUAUAUGUUGUAAAUUUGAAUAAAUGAAAUAAAUAUUUGACUCUGGUUUGUUUGGCCCUUGUCAACGGGAUAUAAUAGUUGACUUUUGGCCCUUGUUAGUGGGAUAUAAUAGUUGACCUUUACAUUUCUUGGUGGGGAAUGUAAUUGAUUUGAACCCCAGCCUUUAGGGGUUUCGGUUAGAGGUUACUAGUACUAGUAGUGUUUGGUUCCGUCCACCUUAAAGGAACAAUUUGAGGCUAGCCACCCAUUUGAAAAGUCCCACCUAAUUGGGCACCCUUUGAUGUUUGAUGACCAGAGUAAAUAACUUAUUGGAAUGUUUUGAUUAAAUUUGAUUUGAAAUUGUUUGAAUCAGAAAUAAAUGCAUACAGUUAGAAAUUUUGAAUGUAUUGGCAAAAAAAAAAAAAAAAAAUCUACUCACAACUUUAUGAAAAUGAUUGAUUACAAUAUCUCCUAUUUUGCAAGUAAGUUUGAAAUGUUUGAUCCAUGGACUGCAUUAAUGUUCCUUAUUUGGCUGUGAGCUCAUUCCUAUUUGUUGACUACUUUUCAGGUACCCUUAGUUCGGGUGAGGAGUGAUGGCUAGGCUGAGGAAUGGUCAUCAUUAGAAUUUGACUUAGGAUUUUAUAUUGGAUUUUGUUUAACUGUUAGUUGUGUUCAUUUGGAUCUUUUGAUAUUUGGAAGUUAUUUGGAUAUUGAUCCUUCAAAUUUUAUGUUAGAUCAAAGUUGAGUUUUGGAGAUUUUGAAAUUUGUUCUAGUACUUGAAUUAUUUAAGUUUGCAAAUAUUUGGACCAUGGAUUUUGGAUAGUGGAUGUUUUAGUUUUGAAAUUGAAUUUUGAGGAUUUUAGAUUUGUUCUGCUACUCUGAACAGGUACUUGGUAAUUGGUAACUUCCGAUUACAAGAUAAGUGUUUGGGUCAGGUUACACUGUAAGCCUUCGGGUUUGAAGUGUGAAAUGACCAUCACGCCCUUAGAGUGGGUCUUGGGGCGUGACACUCCAGUUGUGUUAGGUUCCCAGGGAGGAUGGGAUAUGACCAGUAAGAUUGUUGCCGCCAAUGUUGAACAAAUGAAGCCCCUUGAGGCUCCCAAUGGAGGUUGGAAUGUGUCCUUUGAAAUUGUUGUCUGAGAAAUCAAUUGGUAUGAAAAUAUCAGGGAUCUCCUCAUACAACCUCUGCAUGCCUUUGUUUGUGAUUGUCAGUGAGUACAUGUAACCGAAACUCCAACUAAACCCUGGAAUUUGAAUCUUUGGUUGUACCUCUAUGUACCUAAGGUCCUUUGCAAUAUCUGUAAGUUUCAUGGCAUCCCAAUUUUGGAAAUACUUUGAUGGCUAAUCACCUAUAAACUUAUUGUCAGAGAUGUCAAUGAUGCGCAACUUGGGAAACUUGAAAUUGGAGUGCCAACUCCCUAUUGCACCAUGGAAUCUAUUGGAUUCAAAAUAAGAACCUGUAACUGUGGGAGAGCUCCUAACCAAAAAUGGAAAAUAUCAUCAAUUUGAUUGUUUCCAAGAGCAAGGUACUCGAGCAUUUAGCAAUUGACCAAUGAUCUUGGUAUUUGGCCUUGGAAUUGAUUCUCACUUAAGUCAAUUGUCCUCAAAUUAUUUGGCACUAUGCAUGUUUGAGGGAUGGGGUCAUCAAGGCCAUUAAGGCCUUGGAAUUGAUUGAUUCUCACUUAAGUCACAUUACUUCUAGUAUAUAAUUUUUCUAGACUUCUAGUUGUUGUACCCCAUUGGACUAGAGUUGCAGUUCAUUAUUGAACGAAGUUUCUAAAAAAAACAGAGAGAAAAAUCAAACAGCGGUAGAAUAAAAAGAAAAAAGAAUGGGAACAAAAUAGAGCAGUACAAGAGACAUAGAUUUAAAUCUCUCAAGGGAAAGACAAAAAAGAAAAAGAAAAAGGAAAACACUUUUCAUAAGAAAAAAAAAGUUUUUUAAUAUUAAAAAUAAAAAAGGGUAAUUGUAGACAAUAUCUUUUAGUUAUUUUCACUUUUUUCUUAAAGAUUGUUUUAAAAAAUAAUUAUAUAAAUAUUAAAAAUAAUGCACUAGAAAUAAAUGAUUUUUAAAAUAUAUUUAAAAACAUAGAAAAUAGGUUAAAAAAAUUUCAUGUUUCUAAACCAAUUUUUGUUAUAGGAAACAUCAAAUAACAGUUUUAAAAUUUUUUUCUCGAUAAUAAUGUUUCAGAAAUGUUUUCGACAAUAGCUCUCGAACAUAGUCUUAGCCUUUGUGUCUCUGUUUUUCCCUCAUUCUCCAUUUUGGUUACUGCGGUCCAAAAGUUUUCAUAAUCCAUCAAUAUGAUUUUCCAACCAAAUACACUACGAUCAGAGGUUGAAAAUGGUGGUGGUAAGUUGGUAACACAUCAAGAUUAGCUAGCCUUGAAAGUUGGAAAAACAAAAAAACUUUUCCUAUGGAAUUUCAUGGAUAAAUAGAAGGCUUCUCAUUUGAUUAACUUAAAAAUAUUCCAUAUCUCUCUUGAAUUUUCUGUUUUGUGGUUAGGUGCUCACAUAUUGAAGUUUUUGCCUUUAUUUCAAAUGAAAGACUUGCAAUACCAUAGUAGACCCAAACAUACAAGUUAUAAGAUUGAUGUAGAUGAGCCAAAAACAUGGUUUCACUAGGCCAACUGCAAGAAGCUUUGCAAGUAAAACAAACUCAAGGGACCAGUACUGAUGCUUAACUUCCCAUAAAAUAGAUCAACUCUAAUGCAAGGCAACUUUCAUUUUGCCUUUUCCUUUUUGGAUACAAAAUAUGUAAAAGAAUCUAAUACAUGCAAGCUAGUGAUAGUACUUCUAAUAUGUAAGCGCCCAACUCAAUAAAAGGAAGAAAGAAUGAUAAAAGAAGUGAUGAGACUAACACAUUUAGUUUGCAGUUCAGUACAAGCCAUAAUCAAGUUGCAUUGCUACAUUACAUGUAAUAAAAAAAAACCUAAGCAGUUUUUACAUUCAUUGGCCAACACAAACACAAGUUGAAGUAACAACAUGACUAAAAUGGAAAAAGAGAUGAGGAAAGAAGUCUAACAAUGCAAGCAGUAUACAUAGAUUAAGAAAUCUUUCAAGGAAAUUUUGGUUGGACAAAUUCAACCUCUCUGCUCCUUUCUUUCUUUCCUUGUCCAUUUUCUUUGCUGCUUACCAAAGGUUUUCACGAACCACUCAUGUUUCCAUGAGGUCAAGCAAUACGCAAUUAAAACUCCAAUUACUAGCCCACUUCCAUAUCCCAUUAAUACAAAUUUCCAAUCAAAUUCUCUAGUUGAACCUUGUUUAGAGGAUGAAAGUGUUGGUGGUGAUGCUUGAGAACUUUCACAUGCCCUUGACAAAGGACUUCCACACAAUCCCGGGUUCCCAUCAAAGGAAGCAUUUGGAAAUGUUGUAAAUUGAUUUCCUUG
rnacentral:lncRNA from 1 species